rnacentral:lncRNA from 1 species
GAGCAACUACUUUUGUUUGAGCAUGUAAAAUGUGAAUCAGAGAUUUCAUGUCAAGACCUUGUGUAGCUUCUCUUUCCCAGCAUCAAUAACACGAAUAACUCCAUUUAUUCCACCAGCCACUAAGAAUGGACUUCCAUCAAUAUUGCAGGCCCAACUUACAGUGUAAAAGGAUUCAUCUUUCUGAUUUACACAGCACAUGGAAAAAACAAAAGUUUUUUAAGUAUAUGAAAUAACAUAUGUACAGAACAGAUGGAACAACUGUGUGCUUGCAACUUCUUACAUCUUCAUCAAUAUAAGACUGCAGCACAGCAAUGACACCACCUUCGAGACACUGAUAUACAGUCACCUGACGAACAGCCAGAAAAUAAAGACUAGUCAGGAUAUCGACAAUUGGCAUACAGUAAAAGCAUAUCCUGACUUCCUGAGGCUAGUACUAUUCUUCUGUUGUUGUUAUCUUCUUUCAGUUCGGUAUUCUGAAACAACUCUCAGAUGACAUAUCUAGACCAAUAAAAGACACAUCACUUAACAAGAGCAUGCACUUCUCCAAAUCCUAAAUUUACUUUUACAUCAUCCAUAACUCUCAACUUAGAUUAGAAAUACAACAAGAUAUAUAAUAGCAUAACUCCACACUGCUAAGAGAUUAUACAAGAUUACAAUCCAUACCCAAUUCUGAGAAUCAUAACCUUUGCCAUGAACAAUUUAUAAUAGUAAGGUGAACCAUUAGGUAAUUAUUAUCAAAUCUGUUGAAUAUGUGGCACUCUGCAUGUGUGGAGAAACAUACAAAAACUGUCGAUCAUUACACCAUACAACAUAAGUUUGUACAAAGCUGGCUCAUCCAUCCUAAGUCAUAACUACAUAAAGACAUUUCAGUUUGUGACGCAUCAAUGAAUCUACCAAGAUAAGCAUAAGAGCAAUUGUAGGAAACAAAAAGGGUCCUUGAACCAUCAAUCAACAUUAAAGCAACUUGCAAGUCCAAUUUUAGCACAAUUUCAUCUGAAACAAGCAGCAGCUCAACUAAUAUUAACCCCGAGGCAUUUAAAAAAAUAAGACAGACCAAGAUGGAAAGAAAAACAAAAGAUUGAUACUUCUUACCUAAAUUGUACAAAUUUUGAACUUCCAUACUAAUACAUGAACCCAAAAAUAACAACAACAAGAAGACCAACUCUUCAACAUUAACCCGUUUCAUUUCAGAACUCAAGACAAAUGAAUGAAAAAAUUGAACUUCCAUACCAAUAAAUGAAGCCAAUAAUCACACACACAAAAAAAAAGAGCAACCCAUCAGUCUCAAACAAUUGGGACAGUUACACCCAUACCCGUCAUCCCGUUUCAUUCUAGAACUCAAGACAAAUCCUAAAAGAACGAAAAUUUCGAACUUUCAUAGUAAUACAUGAAGCCAACAACCACAAUAACAACAAUAAGAGCAACCCACCAACCUCAAACAAUUAGGUCGUUCAUACACGUACCCGUUUACCCGUUUCAUUCCAGAGCUCAAAUUACUAAAAGAAAAGUAUUAUAUUCCACAAAUUCGAAUCAGCACAACAAACAAAAUACAAUUUUGACAAACCCCAAAUGAAAAAACUCACACGAUUUCCGCCCACAGUAGCAAAGACAUUGAAGUAGCGCGAAUCAAUGAAAUUGAAGACGACGCCAUAUAAUGGGCGUUUGCCUUCUUGGAGUCUGUUCGUCACUCUAUACUCCUUUUUCCUUGACGGUGUUAAUGAUCCAACAACUGGCUCACAUCCUAGAGGUACUCUGGCCGCCAUUGCUAUCACUCCGCCAGAGCUUAGAGAGGAACGAAAAACUCUACAUAUUUACAGUGUCCCUAAAAUAUUUGUUAAAAAAAAAAAGACGCAAGUGACAUUUUUUUUUAAGAUUAAUUUUAUACGUGAGAUGAAAUUAGCGUUUUAGAUAUGAUCUAAAUUUUCAAAUUAAUAUGAUUUUCAGAAUUUUAAAUUAUAAUUUAAACGUUUUAAAUAGAAAAAUCGACCUGAAUAUAUAUUUUAUUUUUAAAAACCUUAAUAAAAAUAUUUUACCAUCAUUGUAUUAAGUGCACAAGACAUAUCAUUGUGAGUUUGUGACAUUAAUUAAUUGAAAAAAACAAUUUCUUUUACUAACACCUUGAACAGUAUUAAGGUUCGAUCAAUUAAUACGGUAUGUUUUAAGAAUAAUAUUAUGAUACGGUAUAUGUGAUUUAUUAAAUUUUUAUUUAUUUGAUAAGAUUGUAAAAAAAUAUAGAAUAAUUUUAUAAUUUAUGAUUUUUUUAUAUUCAUGAUAAAAUGUUCAAACGACAUAUCCAAAUAAAAUUUGAACUUUAUCUUAUGAUGAUUUUGUGUCAUAUGACCAAACAAGAUUCUAAACAAAAGUAUAUCAAGUACAUCAGGAAAAUAAAUAUGAUUCUAAAGUAAAAUUAUCUUUAAUUAGAGUAAAGUGAUAUUCUUCAACGAUGAAAAUAGUGUCACAUGAAAUGAACAAAACAAGUGUUGUAUUCUAUCUAUAUUAAAAUACUGUCAUAUUUUAUUUUUCGAGAGUAAUUUAAUCAAUAUUAAUUUUAAAUGAAAAUAGGCGAAGAAGUAUAGUUGGUUAGGAGGUAUGGAGAGUUACUUUUACUUUUUGAGGGUGUAGGCUCGUAGAUGUUUGUUAUUGUACUAGCGACAUUUCUUUCUUAUUGACUUUGCAGUUUCUUCUUCGUUAGUUAUUAUGUUUUCUUCUUCUUUAUACUUGAAUUGAUUGCUCUUGAGAUGUGAGUAUUCAAAAAUAAUUUCUUUACCUUCGCGAGAUGGUGAAAAAAUUUGCAUAUAUUUUAUCCUCUCAGAUUCUACUUGUGAAAUAUCACUACAUAUGUUGUUAUUGUUGUUUACCAUAUGUCAAGAUUACACAAGAAAUAAUACAAGUCGUACUUUUUCUCAAUAUCAAAAAUUAAACAUGACAAAUAUUUCGAAACGCAAUGUAUUUCAGGUAGAUAUUUAGCUCAAUCUAGAUAUUCACUUUUAUCAAAUAGUGUAUAUUGACAAAAGUAAAUACUACACUAUAUAAGACCUUAUCAACUUUGUUGGAGAAUUUAAAACAAUGGCUUCUUCUUCAAAUAUUCUUCAACUUCACCAUCUCCAUCUUCUUCCUUCAAUUCAUCCAAUUUCUUGCGUAAAGCAAUUCACUAUCAAAUGCACUUCACCUGAAUCUUCUUCAGACCCAGAAUUUCUAACCCCAAAUUCAGAAACAACAAUUAGCCCAGAAAAAUUCCCAAUUGAAAAACGUCGAAAAUCCGAGAUAAUCCGUGAGAGAAAAUCAAGAACUGAGCUUAUAAAGCAAGACCCACCAAAUUUCGAAAUUGGGUGGAAGAGAACAAAGCCAAUUCCAUUAGAUAAGCCAAUUGGGUAUGUGAUAAUGGAUUUUUUGGAGAAAUUGGAAGAGUUAAUGGCUAGGGAUUUUGGGUCGACGGCGUUGUUAGCGAAAGUUGGAGAAAUAGUUGCAGAAAGAGCUAGGGAAGAAGCGGAAGUGUUGAAAGACGAAGGAAAAGUGGAGGAGAGAAUGGUGACGGAAUUGUACAGAGUUUUGAAGCUUAUGGAAAUGGAUUUAGCUAUGGUGAGUGCUGCUGUUAAAGAAGAAACAUUGAAUAAAAGACUUGAACAAGCUAAAGCACGUUGUAGGCAAGCCAUUCUUGUUGCUAAUUCUUUUUGACAAAUUUGUAGCAUCUUUGUUUCACUUGUACUGUAUUUAAGUCUGUAUUUCAUUAUCGACGAGCACGACCCAGAAAGCAAAAAUCCUUGCUUUUGCUGGCUAGGGUUAAAUAUUGACACCUCCAAUAUGAAAGUCCCGAGUCCAAACCACGAGGUCACCUCGAAAGGAUUGUAGAUUUCAUUUUUGGCCAAAAGCUGAAAUUUUUCCUAUUGUAUUACAAAAAAUCAUCAAUAAUCGUUACAUCUUUACUAUCAAGGAGUACAAUUGAAAUAUACUUUCUGAAUAUAGUAAAUAAAAAUUGUUCAAAGAGGCAACAUCUUUGAGCAAUAAAGAAAAGGAUUAUCAAUUUCUCUUCAUUGUUGUUCUCCCUGAUAGAUUAUUCGAACACCACGAAGCAUUUUCUGUAUGCGUAAAGCUUGUUAAACAUCUCUACGCUGCAGUCCGUCACUUUCUAUGCCAUACAGAAUAUAUGUUUCUCUUUCAAGAUCAGAAGGAACACCAACCUUUUUUAAGGCAUGAUACCAGAAGUCGAAAGAAGUGUCGUCUCUUGAUCAACUUCCAACUUGCUGUUAGUCUCAGGGCAACUUUAAAGCACGAACGAGUUCUCAACACUAAAAGUUGUACAUCUACAUGAACUGCAAAAUGUUGAUCUCAUACAACUGCUGCACCCAAAAGAAAAGGGAUGAAGAAGAGUGAGCACAAAGAGGAAGGGGAAAAAAAAAACGUAGCAGGAACAGAGACCGGCAUGUUCAGAACUAACACAUACCGAAGAAUUUUCUAAAUCCCCUACGAAUUCCACUUUUCACAUCUUAUAUGUCACAAUCUUCCCAGUCUUGUUUUCUUUCUUUUUCCCUUUUGCGGAGGCAGACGUUCCAUAAGCUGUUUGACAAGCUUUGACUACAUUGCAAACAUGAAAAUCAUCCCUUGGUAUAUUAUUGAGAAUAUUUGCUGCAGAUUUGUAGUCCCCUAAUGCCAACAAGGCUCGAUACAUCCUGCAUCAAACAAUGAUUUUGAGCAAAGAAGGAAAACAUAAAAGGACACAAAUCACAUUUGUGACAUCACAAGUAUCCCAAACCUAAUGAGGUUAAAAUACGACUAGUUUGAAGUGUAGUUGCUUCAUAUUUAUUGUGUUCUCAAUAGCAUGUUGAUCCGAAUAGUCACAUAACACCAUGUUACUUUGCAAUUGAGCGAAAAGAUUGCAGAUUUUUAGCAGUGCUUUUUCCUUUAAUUAAAAGGAGACUGAGAACUCCAACAGUGUUCUGCUUGGAAAAGAUUGGAGAAAAGAAAACUGAUAUAUAACUUGAAAAGAAAAGGAAAGGGAUGAUUUGACUGUUGGCACACACGUCAUAGGAGAACAAGAUAUCUCAACAAGAACCUUUUAGCAUGCAACAAGAAGACCUACCCACCAUCACACAAGUGAAAACUACAUAAAACUCCCAAUGUCUCUCAUAGGUCUAGAACCUUAGACGAUGGAACACAGAAGAGAGAGGAGGACAUCAAGCAGUUGAGAAGCAUUGUUAGUUUGAUGACUUUAUUUUUCUCUCUUUUUUUUCAACUUCGACUUUAUUAGAUUGUUAGAUAUCAUUGACCUAGUUUUAUAUGACAAAUGUUUCUUUUUCAUUUCACUCAAAACCAAGAAGGAUACAAACCAACAAAUAAAUGGAAAUGCAUUUGUCUAGCUUAAUCAAAUCUCAGUGUUGAAUGAUUAAUCAAGUGAGUUCUCAACAGAUGCACUUGUAGAGAAAUCAAAACAAAAUGAUAUGAGUAGCUAUCAUGAAUUUCCUAGGAACAGUGCUUUCAAGCAAUCAAACAAGACUAAAAAACACUAGUUAUUUGAAGUUACCUCACAUAACUUAAAAUAUUGUAAGGAAGACCAGCUAUUCUGUACUCCUUCCAAAUCAGAUAACAAGCUUGUAAAUCUUUGGCAUUGACACAAGCACUGAGGAGGAAAUCAAGACUUUGUCGUGAAGGGAGGAGACCAAUAUCUUUUUUAAUAGCCUGAAGGAGAUCCAAGCCUAACUGUAAAUUUAUUGGGUCUUGUUCCGCAAUCUGGUAGAAAACCUGUUCCGUGAUUACCAAAUGAAUACCAAGCAAUAAAACACAUCAGAGCUAAAUAAAGGCCUCAUUAUUAAUGAAUACAAUUUUGUCAAGUAAAAGUAUCAUAUGCAUUGGGGAGCUUUAUCUAGCACACAAGAACUGAUGCGAGAGUAUAUAAAUCACAGAACCCAAAAAGAACCGAGUUUCUACGAAAUAUAAUUAUGUGUUCCAAUACAGAGCAGAGAAAAGGAAGAAGUGCAAAACCUCAUCGAAUAGAACUUCCUUAGCCACUUCAUCAGACUUGUAUACAUCUACCAGCCUUUUAAGCAAGUCGACAAUAGAUCUAUUACAAAAGAGGGGGAAAUUAAAGCAACUCCAAAUUUCAGCAAUAUUCUCAAGAAACAAUUAUGAUUUUAGACCUGAAAUGAUUUUUCCGAAUACAAUAUGUUAUGACCCUAUAGGAGGCAUCCACCCAUUGAUCGAGGCCAUUUAAUUGCUCAAGUAGGUUGAGCAAUCUAUGCAAAUCUCCUUCAGCUUGAAGAUUUUCCUGCAAGAUUUUAAUUUAAAAGGGUAACUGUGUCAGAAUAUUGAAGGUGUCAAGGAAAAGAUCCUGGGAAAGAGCACAUAUGCCAAAAAAACACUUACAAUAAGACAGGUGACCGCUUUUGGCUCCAACUUGCAUUGAGCUUCUUCCAUUUCCUUAUAUAUAUCAAGGGCAUCUGAUAUUUUCCCAUGUGAAGCAAGAGCUGAAAUAAGCACACUUCUAAUUUCAUUGAAACCCUUUGCAGAUACUCCUUGAUCACAGAUUACCUGCACAUCCAUUGAUGCUUCUAAAUAAUCAGAACAACUCAUAUUUUUUUUUGGCAAGAUCAUGCCCCUAACAAUGAGAGAAGUAAAAGAAUAUAUUAUCGCAUAGAUGUUCUACACAGCGGUUAUCAGUUUUAGAGCAGUUCAAUUUUUUUCUCCAAGGAGUAUAUUUCACAUGAAAGCUUCCGAUUUGACAACAUAAAAAACACCACGUUAGAAUUUACACUAUAUGUAGCAUAGCUUCAAAGAAGCUUAUAAAUUUAUCUCUUAAAAUACAAGUACGCACCCACCAAUCAUAUGGCAGAAGAAACUUCAAGAAAAUUAAAUAAAUACAGUGAAGUAGACAAUUGAAAUCAGGGGGAAACCAGCUAUUAAGAAUUUAUGGAUCUAACAAAGGAUUUAGCAUGAAAAAAAGGAAAAAAUAUGUCCAUAAAAGAUUUAUAGAACACUCGUUGUGUACCUGUUUAGCCUUUUCAAACUGUCCAGAAGCUGCAUAUCCAUUUAUUAGGGCCAUAUAUACAUGCUUUGUGAGUUGAACUCCAGAAUCUUUCAUCUCAUCGAGAAACUACAAAUUUUCAAAUUACCAACUAUGAUAGUUCCACAUUUGUAGCCAAUGUCAACAAGAUAAGCAUCUAUCUACUAACAUGAAAAGAAAAGGCAGAUAUUUCAUAAACAAAGAAAAACAAAGAGCAAAAGAGUCUAUGCCCGAAUAAAUCAGAUAAAGGAAGCAGAUUCAUGGAACCAGUUACCACUGAGAAACAUUUUAUGAAAAUUUUGUGAAGAUUGCUUUAAGAGAAUUACAUUCACAUAAAGGACAAUCUUUACAUUAAAUGGAAAGACUAGCACCAUGCUGAUGGAUGUAUUGAUGGAACACAGUUAAACUUUGUACGCUAAUUAUACAUCAUUCAAUAAGAUUUCCUCUCUUUUGAUAUGAGGGUUAAGUAGAAUUUCUUAUGCCUUCACUAGUUAAUUUGCAAUACACGGUUUCUAUCCCACUCUAUGAACCGGUUAUGAACUUCUUGUUUUAGCCACAAUUUUCUUCCAAAGCAGUAUCUACAUAAAAUAUGAAGGUUUUCAACUUCUUUUAUAUGGUUAACUCCAAUCCCCAAACUCUCAUAGGAAUGGGGAUUUGCAGGAUGCUAGCCUGACUUUUGAUAGUGUAUGAGCUGAACUAGUCUUGUAAUCUUAAUAAGCUCAAUAUGAGCUAGAUUUCGUUCUUAUAAUCUUAAUACGCUCAAUAUAAGCUAGCUUUCCUUCUAUAAUCAAAGCACAUUAUAUCUCCAUUUUAACUUUUACUAAACAAUUACUGAACCACCAUCUCAUAAAAACGAGAAUUAUGAAAGAGAAAUAAUCUAGAAAAGCUGACAAAUGAAAAUAAUGCAUCCACUUACACAAUAAAACUUAGUUACACCAGAGAAAUGAGAAAAGCAAGAAUAAUCUACAGUCAUAUUCCCAAAAAGACAAUUUUGCCAAGUCACAACAAAUGUUCUUUAUCAAGAUCACAAAACAGAUAUGUAAAACCAAGGACCUUAGAUAUGUCAUCCUCAUUCGUGCAGUUGCUUAUCAGAUAGCUGAAAGUCUGAGAGUCUGACUUCACAUUAGCAUCUUCCAUUCGUUUGAGAACCCCUAAUGCAGCACGAGUGUCUUUCUGCCAGAUGUUCAGCAAAAAAAAGGUCAAAAGUCAAAAAAAAAACAGAAGUAAUCAGCACCAUCCAACCAUUAUUACAUCCAUAGAUAGGGAAAUACAAGCAACAAAUUCUAAAAUAGAAGUAACAAAAACCAUCAAGCAACAACUAUGGUUUGCAGGAUUUUGGACAGCCUUUCACACACGCAACAAGGCAGUUUUCUGUAUCUAAAAUGCAUGCACAAGAUAUUCCUUUUUAAAAAAGGCAGUAAAUUUGUAUUUAUCAGCAUUUAGGGCUAUGCUGUUCACCUCCAAAAAUUUACAAGAAAAGACACAGAUACUUAUAAGGAUCCUAUAACAUUCACUAGUUGGAUUUCUUCUUCUAUAUUUUUUUUCGUUACAUCAAAAGCUAAAAUAGUAAUAACUUUUCUUUUGAUCUUCUGUAAUGAGCAUUCUCUCCCUUCAAAAAUCCUCUGGUUUCUCUCCUAACAUAUAAUCCACCAAAUGCAAGUUGGAACUAUUCUCCAUCGUCUCUUCUGGUUUUUACUUUCAUGUUCCACCUUUCCUCAAACAGCAGCUAAGGAAGUCUGGGUGUGCUCUGGCGUGCUCCAGUUCACACUAAUCAGUUGGGCUUGAACAUAUGAAUUAUCUAUAUCUAGUCUGGUCCAUUCAGGUUUGUCUUGUUGCAAUACUAGAUAAUUCAAGGAAAGUAGGAGCUCUCUAAAUCUCGUAAGCCUUAACACUGAUAACUGCUUUGAUCCCGAAUUCCCAAUUAAUUUUGCCAUCACAAAAAUGUUUUUAAAAAAUAAUUGUGGUGUAUGUACCAACUUAUGCGCACCUCGACUAAUUCUACGAAAUACUUGUUCCCUACCACCAAAAAUAGACAACAUGUACUCUGCUCAUGAUUAGACAAAUUGAAAGAUAUCACCUAGUGUUUUUAUCUCUGUUGGGAUUUGAACCUUAGACCUCAUGAUUCUCCUCCCACUUUAUUGACCACUAGGUCACACCCUUGGGUGCUUGCCAUCAUAUAUAUAUUUAUCGACUACAUGAUUUAUGUCAGUAUAAAAAAGCUAAAGAUUAUAAUCAUUACUUUUAUUUUAUUUUUGACUAAGGAUUAUAAUAAUGAAUUCUUAAUAGUAAAUUUUAAAUUCUCUCAAAAUAAUGAACAAUUUUAAAAGGAAAUUCUAAAGACCAUGUAUCCAAAAAUAUGAGAGGAUGAAUUUUGAACAUUGAGUUACACUUAGAAUCAUGAAAAAACAUUUUUAAACACUUUCUCAAAUUUUUGAAAAGAAAAGCAUUACUUAAAAUUAAAUGAAUACAAAACGUGUAAUUAACUAAACAUGUAAUAAUAUAAAAAGCAUUUUUGUGCAUUUAGAUGUGUGUAGGCACAUACUACUACUAUGUGCAUUUCACAUUCGAUAUGCACAUAAACCCAAGUGGGUCUUAAUACGUAAACAAAUAUGGUAACCAAGAAGAUAACAUUUGAUGCAGAAUAUGAAACCGGAAUUAUUUUUAAAAAUACGAACUAGAUGACCUUAGCUCUUGUUGUACAGCUCAUGUAGAGAUACAAUCAACUUCUGCCACAUAAUUUAGUGAAAUUAUUAACAUAAACUUGCUAGAAUUAUUAUUACGUCUAGAUCCAAUAAAAAAGUUAAACCUUACUGCACAAAUGAUACAACUUAAAAUUAUGCAAUAUCCUUCAACGUCUUUGUUCCUUUCACUCAAAAAGAUGUUCUAUAGGUACUCUGAAAGAGGCCCGGUCGAAUGAAGAUCACAAGAUGCAACAAAUGGGUUUGAGAGCAAAAUUUAGUUGUUCUGCACAUAGAUAAUGUAUGACAACUCAAGCAUAGAAGACAACAGAUAAAGGGGAACCCACCUCUCGGAAAUAUCCUCCCAUUAUGGCAUUGUACAUGUUUGUGGUAGGCAUCAAGUUAAACUUCUCCAAAUCCUUGAGCAUGUCAUAUGCACCUUCAAACUGCAGUUAGGACAACAUAGAGAACAUAGAGCUUGGCUAGUUAAGCGACUCAUUCAAUAUUUAUAUACAAAUAUUAUCCCCUGAUAUGAAGAGGAAACUUACAUCCUUUAUUCUCACAGUCAUGUUUAUCAUAAUCCUGAAGGUCUCACUAUUUGGCUUGAUAUCAUGACGAAGUAUCAUUGGAUACAUUCGAUGAACCUAAGAUUCAUGAGGAUAAACAUUAAAACAUGAUUUAUGACAACACUAUAUGAAUCAAAGAUACAAGAGAUACACAAUGGACAAUUUUAAAUAUAAUCACUAUGGUACUAGCUGCUCACUGGAGAAACUCCUAACGUAAUUUUCAAAUCAAAGAAUCAGCCAACCAGUGAUCCAGUUAACAAUGAGGGAAGAAGAGAACAUCCACAGGUUAAAUUCAACUGAAAAAUCUAUCAUUGCCAUGAUUUACUUUUUACUUGGUUUGACAUCAUGAACUUAGUACUUAUUCAUGACUGAUAAGACAUGGAUUAAUAAUUGUGAAGUCCAUUUGCUAUUUAAUACAUAACCUAUUUGGAGACUCCAACUUUGUUGCUCAUAAGGGUUAAAAGCUCCAGCUGAGCAGAUUGUGGGAAAUAAGUCCUUUCUCUUUUGAGAAGAUGAACUGUUUCUUUACUUUUGCCUCUAAAGAUUGACAUUCACAUUACAACAACAACAUACAUAGUGUAGUCUCACAAAGUUGAUCUAAACAUCAAGAUUAACCGCAUAAAAUAACUUCUUAGCACACACUAGGCAAUCAAAAAGAACUAAAUAAUGCACCCAUAUACAAGAAUUGUACCAACAAAAUUGAAACCUUAAAACGGAUUUGAUUUUCUAUGAACAACACCUAAUCUAGUAAAGAGAAAUAAUGGCAAAGAGGUCAUUCCUUGAGUGAAAAAAUAUACUUGUUUAUGCACUUUAGCAACCAUCUGGUCGUUGAUUUCUAUAAUUUUCAAAUGUCCAGUGCUGAAGUGCAAAGACCCCAAGGGUCUUAAAACCAUCACUAACUACUUAGUACAUUAGUUUUUCGAAUAAAACAUGCUGCCCAGGAUGGUCUAAGACUAGUGUACAUUCGGUAACAUUCGGUAAUGAUCAUCAAAACUGUAUUCUAACUACAUACAUGUUAGCAACUUUUUAUAUAUUCUGUUUUUUCUGACCGUGGUGUCCGGGCCAGCUUUCGCGCACCUCAACUAAUUCCACGGGAUACCUGCCACCUCCCACCUCCUACCAGAAACAAGUAACUCUAUCCACCAAGGCUAGUCGAGAUGGGAAGAAUCACCUAGUGUUUUUUGUCUCCCCCGAGUUUCAAACCUGAGACCUCAGGAUUCUCAAACACUUCAUUGACUAUUAGGCCACAUCCUUGAGUGCUAUACAUGAUAGCAAAUUUAUGAGAACCAAGGAACAUUUGUGACAGUUAAAUCUCAUCUAAUUUAUGUGUCCUAGCCCAAACUAAACAAUUAAAGUAGAUUAAGCUAAUAAACUAAGACAUCAAAAAGAUGAGGGAUUCAAACUAACCUACCAAAUUAUACUCACGGCUUUUAUCGCAGGCUUCAAGUAUGGAAUUAAAUGUCUCCAACGAUAAUGUCAAACCUGCUUCAAACAUUUGAUCAACCAUAUCUAAUGCAGCAUGUACCUAUUUACAAAGUUGCAACUGUCAGUACAUUAGAAAACUUCACACAUUAACCAGAACAUGUAAUGACUCUAAUUUUGCACAACGAAGUCUCUAAGCACUGAAUAGAAUAUCUUUAAAUAAUCAGUUCAUACCUUAAAUAACUCACAACAGUACCGAAUAAGCUUCUCAUACUGGGAAAAUGUUGGCCUAAGCUCCAACUCCGCAUGUAAAUUUUUGAAUUCAAGGAUGACAUCUUCAACCUGCCAUUAAUAACAGAGCAAUCAGAAUAAUAUUUCACUGAUGGACAGAUAUCGAGUAUUAGCAUAACUACAGAUCAGCUUGGCAACUGCAAUAGUUUACCUACAAAUUUCCAACCAAUUCCGUUAGCAGAGAAAAGAAAUGCUUAUCGCAUCCAGGAGAAUAAAAAAUAAUUAGAAGCGCAAAAUACAACACCACGCUAUAUUCCCUUUAACUUCCAUUAUUCCAGUACAUGUGACAUCAGUUGACACUGUUUGACUGAACACAGAACUUAAGGUGCAAAUUGAACUUGUGAUUUGCGCAAACAAACAGCCCCUUAGAUAUUUUAUCCAAUAAUCUUUUGAUUCAGCAUUUAAAAUUUUCUGACUUAUGCAAGCAUCAUGUGAAUGUAUACCAAGGGAGAUCAUAAGUGGAAUUAAUGAGAAGUUCCUCACCGCACUUGGCAUGCUAAUUGUAUAAUUACAAAUGAAUUUUGAGAUGUCUUUUGCUCCAAUACCUGCUUUGAGAGAGGCUAUAUUAGGAUGCGUGAAGCCGUGAAUGGAAUAUAAGUUGAAGAGAUAAGGACACUUUGUUAAUCAAUAAGAUUACCAUAGAAGUAAAAGAUCUUCUAACAGCAACAGAAAAAGGAAAAUCUUCAGUUUCCUUAUAACUGAUGCCAAUACUCACAACAUUUUCCCUAUACAGUAAUUUUUAUUUCUUUUUUUAACCGUAUAGCAAUAUCAGUUUGCAGAAUCAGAUAAUAAUCCUUUCUAAGAUGUAUUGGGACAAGAUACCGUCAUACAGGUCACACUAUGAGUUAAACAAUCAUGGCAACCUUCACUUUAAAGUACCCAAUGCAAUUAGAAACAAUUUGGCUAAACAUGAGGCCCUUGAUUGUUGAAUUAGCUUUAGAGGUGCCUCUAAAGAAAAAUAAGGUGACAAGUUACCUGUUGUUACCAACUCCUGAAGAAAUAUCUUAGCGAAGGACUCCAAUAGCAACUUCCCCAAGAACUUGAAGAUAUUUGCGACAAAAUCAAUAGAUGAAACUUUUGUUAUGUCAAUAGUUCUUAGAACCCUCACAAAAUCCUCAACUCGGUCACUUUCGCACAGUGCUAAGAGGUAGUUUUCUGCAACAUGUUAACAUUGUGAAAGUCUAAAAUAUGGCAAUAGUACAGUAAAGCAUCUGCCAAAACUCAUCAUGAGAUGCAUUUAAGAAAUGAUUCGUAAGAUUCUAAGAUGUUACCGCAUUGCAAAGAGACUCUAAAUUCAUCAACAAUUUGCAAAUGCAUUAUAAAUAUCAUGUACAGUAAACAUGAUAAAAGAGGCAUGCAACUCAAUCAUUUUUAUCACUAGUCAUUAAGUGCAAGGUACCACAAGUAAUUUCUAAUCAGCAGGAUCAAACAACCAGAGUAUAAAAACUAAAUUUGUAAUAGGGGUAUAUGUCAGUAAAUUGCAAACCUUGAAAGGCAGAUUUAUCAGCACCAUCAUAAAGAGAAAGAUGGUAGAGGAGUUCUUCUAUUUUAUCUUCAUUUUCCACCUUAGCCCAAAGCAACAUCUCAUAGUAAGUUAAUCUCACAAGUGAAUCAGCAUUUCCAUCCGUAAUGAGCUCACAGUAAAAAUCAAAAUCUUGUACCAUGCCAAAAUCAAUAAAAUACAUAAGAAUUGAACCAUAGCUCUCCUCUUUUAAUUGAAAACCCUGUUCCUUCAUUGAUUUUAGUAGUUGAUAUGCCUUUGAAAGCUGCUUCAACGACACCUCUUCAUCAUUACUUUCUCUGGCCUUCUCUAUACAGAGUCUUAUCAGCGCAUUAUAUUCUUUCAGGCCAGUUUCUCGUCCCAAUUUACCAAACACCUUAAUGGUAGUAUCAGUCCCCAAUUUACAGGCACAUUGUUCAACUAACUGGUGGAAACGACCUACCUGAGAACUCUUGAAGGUCCACUUUUCCUUCCUUUCUCGUGCUAUUUCUUUCCGCCGCAAUGAAAUGCUGCAUUUUUCUACAUUUGAUAACCAUGGUACAUCCAAUACAUUUUCCAAGCAACUUGCAUUACUACUCUCUUCUGGAUCGCUCAAAUAAGAAUCUAAAUCACCUAUAUAGAUAAUCAGAAGAAUAUAUAGGUAAAAUGGGAUGCAAGACAAUUGCAUACAGACAACAUAUGAAAAGAUUAAUAGAUAUUCUAAGUUGUGCAUUCUUUGUCCACAUCUAGUUACAUCACAAGGAAUUCAGUAAAAAGAAUAUGCAGUUUCCAAGCCACCAAGAAGCCAUGAGAAAAGAUCUUAACGCACCAACUUGGUAUGCUCUAGAAAUAACAAUAAUUUUUUUUAAAAAAAAAGGUACUACUUCAAAAUGCUUUGCUAGUUUGUUCAGUUGGAAUUUCUUACCACUGAAAAUAGCAUUGAUAUAUUAUUGGAUUUUCUUAGCUCCUUGAACUUAGCAUUGUACCGGAGGUAACCUUUGGGACCUUUUGUAAGUAUGCAUCUUCUUUAUUUUUUGAUUAAAAUUAACUACUUACUUCAUCAAAAAUAAAUAAAAGAUAAUAAUACAACCACACAUAUUACUUUCUUGAUAUCUCUUAAGCCCCCAAGAUAAUGCAUAAAUAUCAAUACAAGGAUAAGAGUAGCUGGCCAAACAUCAUAAUUUACAUGUUUGUUCAACCUCUGGCUGUCAAAUAUCAUUAUAAUUACAAGAAUUCCCAAGACAGAGAACCACAACAGAUUCAGAUAGAUUCAAAUCUUAAACGGGGGAAUGACAUUUUAGACAUUUGUGGCAGAACUUUCCAAUUUGGCAAUUGAAAAUUUGUGGUAACUCAUUUAAGUCUUCAAUGGUCACAGAGUGAAUUAUUGAAGCUCCAAGAUACCCCACACUCCAAAAAAAUCUUGACUCGUGAAGGAAGGAAACAAGACAUAUUGACAGAUAUAUUUACCAUUUCAAUGUACAUUUAGCAGAGAAAGGUAAAACCACCUUCUAGCUCGUCAUAGGAGUUAGGAAAGCUGUGUACAUAACGAAAGUUCCCUAAAUCCGAGCCAAAGGAAGAAUUAAAUUUAGUCAGUACAGGAAAAGUACAACUCGCAGGAAAGCAGGAGAGAUUCUUCACCUAUUACUCUAACAAACUAAUAUUGUCCCAAGAACAAUAAACUAAACAUGAUGUUGUACCAAUAUGAUGGUAUCUAUCAUAAUGUGCAUUCAUAUUUAACAACUCAUCUCUAAUUUGAACAACUGAGUCCAUGCAAUAUACCAAAGUAAAAAAAACUAUACAAAGAGCCAACAAAAGAAUAAACAAAGAGAAGGAACUAUUUCAGAAAAAAAAAACGAAAGUUAGCUGUCCUCCUCAGAUUUUAACAUAUCUAAGACUUAGGGUCCAUUUGGUUACUGGUAUUAGGGGGCUUAAGUUCAUCAACUCUUCACUUAUAAAUGCAUUUGAUGUUCAGUUGUGGCCUUGUCGGUAUAAGCUAAAACUAGGAUAAAAUCAUACCAAAAUCAUGAGAAUAAGUGGGACUACCUAUCCUGGUUAUAAUCAAUCUCAGGGACUUAACCUUGCUUUGAACCAAACAACCCGUACAAUACAAACUGUAAUGAAUACACCUAACUAAUCAAAUUAACACAACAAAAAAAGAAAAGAUAAAAACAUACCACAGAGUAUCGAUGAUAUUUCACUUGACAACAGUUUUGAUGAUUCCCCUACACAAACAAACAAACCCAAAACACAUAAACUAAUUAAACACCUUUAAAUAUUCCUCCUUUUGCCUUUAUAACAAUGAGUUACAUUUCUCAGAUAUCUCAUACAAAAAAACAAACUUUCUGAAAUAAUAAUUAUUACAACAAAACAUGAAGCAUUAUUACAACAAAACAUGAAGCAUAAUUCCACAAGUGGGGUUUAGCCACGUAGUGUAUACGCAUAUCUUACCACUAUCAAAACAAAUCAAUAAAGUUAGAGCAAAUAAGAAUUGGGAAAAUGUGCUUACCAUAGUCAGCAGCAGACUUAAAGUUGAAACUUUCAGCAGCUAUUUCACUGAGAGACUUAGAAGAAUCAUUAGAGGGUUUAGAAGAUGGAGAUCCAUAUUGUUUUAGGGCAACACCAUUGGCUGAAGUUGAAGGGGAAACAGGUUUCCAUUGCUUUGAUAAUUUAGUAGCGGCACGGAACAAAGAUGUUAGGGUUUUGGAUUUGGAACCGGGCAUGAGCAAUGACCCAACUGGAUUCUUGCUUCACUGUCAACUCAAAGCUUACCACAGCACAGAUUAAACAAAAAGAUUCAAUCUUUUUUGCAGAAACACUCAAUUCUAACAGUUAGAUUUGAUUAUGUUGAGUUAAAUUAGUGUUUAAUUUGAUCUAAAACUGCAUAAUCCAAGAAAGGAAUUUGAUCUAAAACUGCAUAAUCCAAGAAAGGAAUUUGGUGAAUGAAGAAAUUAAGGAACUGACUAUGAAAGGAGCCAACAACGUUCACAAUACAAAGGUUCUUCGAGGCUAAAGUGAAAUUUGCACAAGUACUAUUAGAUCCUCGAUUUUAAAAAAAUUAUAAUUUAUUUUCUGAUUUUAUCUUAAUUAUGCGAGAAAUAAAUUUAUUUUUAAUUAUAAUUAGUAAUUUAUUAUUACUGGUACUAAAUAUUUCCAAAGUUGUACUUUGAUCAGUACUCUCUUCAUUUCCAUUUAUAUGACAUUUUUUAAAUUUUGAAAUUCAAACAAGUUUAGUUUUUAUUAUAAAUUUUUUAAAUAUUUUUAAAUUGUAAAUUAUUAUGAUUUAUACUACUUUUUACAUAAUUUAUAAAUAUAACUUUUUUUAAAAAGAUUUUAGGUCUAAAUUUUUAAUCGAAUUUAAAUGUUUUAAUUUUUAGAAAAUAUCACAUAAAUUGAGAUCGUCAUGUGAGUUCCUUUCCAUUUUAUUUGUAUUGGCAGACAAUCAAUUUUGAAAUAGUAGAAAGAACUUUGUUUUCCUUCCUUUCUUGAAAAGUGAAAAAUAUGCUUUUAUCACUUACUCCUUGUUUGAAUGGUUUUUAUUCGUUGUGUUAUAAUAUAUUGUUAUUUUAAAUAUAAUAUUUGUUUUAUUUGUUAUUUGAAUUUGAGUAUAUCGUAUCAUUUAAGUUUAUUGUAAGAUAAUGAUAAAAAAAUUGAUUUUAUGUAACGAAUGAUUUGACGUGAUUGCAUCAAUACCUUAAUAUUUAUUUUUAUUUUAUCUCUACUUAUAUUCAAUAAUUCUAUUUUUAUCGUGUACCAUGUCAUUUCAUAGUAUUUCUAUCCUAAAAACUACGAUUUUUUAAAUUUAUCAUUUAAAUUAUAGAUAUGUGACGUUAUAUAAGGACGGAGAACGAUACAAUAUAUAAAAUACCAUACAUUGACAAUGAUGGACGAUUAAUUUAUCUUCUAGACAAGAUUUUAUUAAUAAUAACGUGUGGAGAAUGAUUCUAAAGUUACCUUAAACUAGUCCGGCCAGGUCUCAAGAAUCUUAAAAACAAACACUUCAAAUUUUUUUUUUUAAAAAAAAAUUAUACACUACUAUGUCACUUUUAAUAGAUAAAACUACAAUUUUAGUAAAAAAAGUAUAAUAAAUAACCUAGAAAAUAAAGCAUAUUACUUAUUAUAAUAUGUUGAUAUAUAUUGAUAUACAUUAUUUAUUGUUAUGUACUUAAAGUUAAACCCCUCAACUCCAUCAACGAAUGUGAUGCACUAGAUUAUGGCUACUAAUUCUUUUAAGCAUGAAGUAUUGAUAAAUUUAAAUUAGUCGAGAUUCAAUAUAAGUAUUGAUCAAACACAAAUAAAUUUAAUGUUAAUAACUUAAAAUUUUGAAUCUGCUCUCUUGAUUCUAAUUUGUCACGAUAAGAAUUAAGAAAUAAUUAAAAACAAGGAGACCAAACUAGAAUUGACAAAACCAACAAAUUUGUUAAGUUUUAAGGCUACCAACAAACAAAGCCGGCAAAUACAAACUUUAUUGCAUAUUCCCUUUUAGCUAAUAAUCUGCCCUGUGGCCUGCAAAAAGCAUAUUAUAAAAACAAGAUUAAUUAUAGUGUUUUUUGUGUAUUGUUUCUAUAAUGGGAGGUAAUAAUAAACAAGGCAUGUUCAGAUUUGCUGAUAAAAAAGAUAAGAUGUUAAUGUUCUUUGGAACAUUAGGAAGUAUGGGAGAUGGUCUUCAGAUUCCACUAAUGAUGUUUGUGCUUAGUGAUGUAAUUAAUGAUUAUGGAAAUUUAAGUAAUUCUGUUUCUAUGAAGACUGUCAACAAGGUGAUACAACGAUUAAUUAGCUUUAAUUUGCAUGCUAAUUAGUAGUAAACAUUUGUUAAGAGUGUUUUGUUUUCAUUGCAGUAUUCUCUCAGGUUACUAUAUGUUGCUAUUGGAGUUGGACUGGCUUCUUUUGUUGGUAAGUGAAACUAAGUUUCAUUUUCUCUCUUGAUUUGACACAAAAAGGCGGAUCAACGACAAGGGUGAGGCUAGUUCAAGUGGUUGAGCACCUUCACUAGGUUCGAGUAACACUAUUGAUCCUUCUGAUGGGGUUACAAUAUAUAGUUUGAUGUACUAAGUUCUCGGAAUUGUCUUAUCUUAGAGCAGGGGUAGCCUCAGGUGGGAAGGGUCAGGGGUUCGCUCUUUGGAUUAUUUGACUAUGAACUUGGUUAUUAGUAUUAUAUAUUAACUUGAUAUUGUUAUGAAAACUUACAAACUUCAAAUCCUGGAUCGUUUUUUUUUGUGUGUGUGUGAUGGUAACAAAAGAUGACAUAUUGAAACAUUUGUGAGUGCAGAAGGAUUAUGUUGGGCAAGAACUGCAGAAAGACAAACAUCUAGAAUGAGAUUAGAGUAUCUAAAAUCUGUUCUGAGGCAAGAAGUUGGAUUUUUCGAUACACAGGCAGCUGAAUCUUCCACUACUUAUCAAGUAAUUUCGACUGUAUCAGCUGAUUCAACUACCAUCCAGAUCACCAUAGGCGAGAAGGUAUGUAAAUAUUCUCUUCCAUUUGUGCUGUGAAUAAUUUGUUGCUGUUGUAAAUAGUUGUAACAACAACAACAUACUCGUCAAGGGAGCCAAGAUUCGGUAUACAUGUAUAAAAGGUACUAGAGUAAUAUUUAACGUAUAUACAUAGUAUAAUUUUCUAGCGGGAGAUGUUCAAAUGACCACCCUUCUGUCAAUGAAGUUCUGCAAUACUUAAUCAGAAGAUUUAUAGUAGUAGUAAUACUUUUGCUUCUCAAAUAACGUUGUAUAACUAUAAUAUUAUUUUAGUUGAUAGAAAAAAAAUGUAAUAGCCAAUCUUUGUUCUCAAGUUUUGCAUUUUGUAGUCUCUAAUCUUUACUUUGUGCUUUCAUUCAGAUACCUGAUUGCCUGGCUUACAUGUCGUCCUUCCUGUUCUGUCAUAUCUUUGCCUUUCUACUCUCAUGGAAGAUCACUUUGGCCGCGAUACCAUUCACCUUAAUGUUCAUCAUUCCUGGACUUGGAUUUGGUACAAUGAUGAUGAAUGUGGGAAUGCAGAUGAUAGAGUCAUAUGGAGUUGCAGGAGGAAUAGCAGAACAAGCUAUUUCUUCAAUAAGAACACUGUAUUCUUAUGUGGCUGAGAACCAAACUCUCGAAAAGUUCAGUCAAUCGUUGCAGAAAGUUAUGGAACUAGGAAUUAAGCAAGGAUUUGCUAGAGGGCUGUUGAUGGGAAGCUUAGGAAUGGUUUAUAUUAGUUGGGCUUUUCAAGCAUGGCUCGGAUCGAUUCUAGUUAGCAAACAUGGAGAAAAAGGAGGUGAUGUAUUUGUAGCAGGUUUCAAUGUUCUUAUGGGAGGAUUGUAAGUUUUCUUACACCUUAUGUUGCUCGGACUCUUCAAAAAAAUGUCACUAGGUAGGUGUCGAAUCCUCCAAAAGUAGUGCAUUUUGGAGGAUCCGAGCAAUAUAGUUCUCACCUUAAUACUCAUGUUUUUAGUCUCUCUAUAUGUUGCUAGAAAUGAUGUUGAUUAAGACGUUCAUGUUCCUGCAGAAACAUUCUGUCGGCUCUUCCAAAUCUUACAGCAAUCACGGAGGCAAAGUCUGCUGCAAUUCGGAUCACAGAGAUGAUUGAUCGACAACCAGCAAUCGACACUGAAGAUAAGAAGGGGAAAGCAUUGUCAUAUGUAAGAGGAGAAAUUGAAUUCAAUGGUGUCUGCUUCAGUUACCCCUCAAGGCCCGAUGCGCCUAUCUUGCAAGGCCUGAAUCUUAGAAUUUCACCGGGGAAAACUACAGGACUUGUUGGGGGUAGUGGUUCAGGAAAGUCCACAAUCAUUUCAUUGCUUCAGAGAUUCUAUGAUCCCAUUGAAGGCGAUAUUUCAUUGGAUGGUCACAAGAUAAAGAAACUCCAUAUAAAGUGGCUGAGGUCCCAAAUAGGUCUGGUUAAUCAAGAACCAAUUCUCUUUGCAACAACCAUAAAAGAGAACAUACUGUUUGGCAAAGAGGGAGCAACUAUGGAAGAAGUGGAGAAGGCAACAAAAGCUGCAAAUGCUCAUGAUUUCAUUAUAAAGUUACCAGAUGCAUAUGAAACUCAGGUACAUAGCCUCAGUUUCAUAAUACUCCCUCCUUUUCAAUUUGUUCGUCUGAUUUUGACUUGACGGAGUUAUAGAAAGUAAAAGAUACUUUUGAAUCUUGUGGUCGUAAAGAUAGGUAGAAUGUGUAAAAUGUCAUUUAAUCUUGUGGUCUUAAACGUGCUAUGUGGAAAGUUAGAAUGAAGGAGUUGUUUUUUUAAAUAGGUUGAAAAGGAAUGUAAGACAAACAAAUUGAAACGGAGGAAGUGUGAUAGUAAAAAGAAAACCACAUCACUACAAGUGAAACUGUGUUUAAAGUCCUUGUUAUAAUUGUACCUUCAAAUGUUGCAGGUUGGGCAAUUUGGUCUGCAGUUAUCUGGAGGACAAAAGCAGCGAAUAGCCAUAGCGAGGGCUUUGAUAAGAGAUCCAAAAGUCUUGCUGCUUGAUGAAGCUACAAGUGCAUUGGAUUCACAGUCUGAAAGAGUUGUACAAGAGGCCCUUGAUCAUGCAUCUAUGGGGAGAACUGCAAUCGUCAUAGCUCACCGUCUGUCCACCAUUAGAAUGGCGUAUAGGAUAGUAGUUCUUCAACAAGGGAGAGUAAUAGAGUCUGGAACACACGAAGAGCUUAUGCAAAUGACUGAUGGUGAAGGUGGAGAGUAUUACAAAAUGGUGCAGCUGCAGCAACUAGCCACAUUAAAUGAUGUCGCCAAUACCCCUAAUCAAAAGACUGGUGGAAGACGUAGCUAUCGUAAAGGUAGUAAUACCCCUCAAAGUCCAUUCAACAUGAUAUCUAGUGCAGCAGCCACACCGGUUAUGUACCCGUUCAGUCCAGCAUUUUCCAGAAGUACACCAUUGUCAGUUCCUUACUCCGUCCAGUAUGAAGAAUCAUAUGAAAGUUAUGAUAACCAUUUGACAAAAGUGGCUCAUCCAGCGCCUUCACAAUUGCGUUUACUCCAAAUGAAUGCUCCUGAAUGGGGUAGAGCUUUGCUCGGAUGCAUAGGAGCGAUAGGCUCGGGAGCUGUUCAGCCAAUAAAUGCCUACUGCGUUGGGGCAGUUAUAUCUGUUUACUUCCGUCCUGAUAAAUCCUCCAUCCAAUCUCACGCGAGGAUCUAUUCUUUCAUAUUCAUAGGUCUUGCUGUUUUCAACUUCUUCACAAAUGUAAUCCAACACUACAAUUUUGCUGUCAUGGGAGAAAGGCUAACCAGAAGGAUAAGGGAGAUGCUGCUUGCCAAACUCAUGACGUUUGAGAUCAAAUGGUUUGAUCAAGAUGAGAACACGAGUGCAUCUAUAUGUGCUCGGCUAUCAACUGAGGCAAACAUGGUUCGUUCCCUUGUGGGAGACCGUAUGUCAUUGCUAGUUCAAGCAUUCUUUGCUGCUACAUUUGCUUAUACAUUAGGACUUUUCCUAACAUGGAAGCUGUCCUUAGUGAUGAUGGCAGCUCAGCCUUUGCUCAUUGGAAGUUUUUACGCGAGGACUGUACUGAUGAAGAGUAUGUCUGUAAAAGCACAGAAAGCUCAAAGAGAAGGAAGCCAACUAGCAAGUGAAGCUGUUAUUAAUCAUAGAACAAUCACCGCUUUCUCAUCUCAGAAAAGGAUAGUAGGGCUCUUUAGAGACUCAUUAGAAGGUCCUAGAAAGGAAAGCAUACGACAAUCUUGGUAUGCCGGUAUAGGUCUAUGUAGCUCUCAAUUCCUAGCUGCAGCUUCUACAGCUUUAGCUUACUGGUACGGCGGAAAACUAUUGUCACAAGGAGACGUAUCUCCUGAGAAACUUUUUCAAGCAUUUCUAGCAUUGCUUUUCACUGCUUAUACUAUUGCUGAGGCAGGAAGCAUGACUAAAGAUAUAUCUAGAGGAAAUAAUGCUGUGGGUUCAGUCUUUGCAAUCCUCGAUAGAAACACCGAGAUCAAUCCAGAUAAUUCAUCAGCAAUAGAUGCAACGAGAACACAAAUAAGGGGACGUGUGGAGCUGAAAAGAGUAUUCUUUGCUUAUCCAUCAAGACCAGAUCAGCUGAUUUUCAGAGGAUUAAGCCUCAAGAUAAGUGCAGGAACUACAGUGGCAUUAGUUGGACAGAGUGGUUGUGGAAAAUCAACGAUAAUUGGGCUUAUUGAAAGAUUUUAUGAUCCAGAUAAAGGAUCAGUCUAUAUCGACGAAAGGGAUGUUAAAGACUACAACUUGAGAUCCCUGAGGCAAAGUAUUGCAUUAGUUAGCCAAGAACCAACUCUCUUUGCAGGAACUAUCUACGAGAACAUUGCAUAUGGAAAAGAGAACGCCAGCGAAUCUGAGAUAAUAAAUGCUGCUGUGCUUGCUAAUGCUCAUGAAUUUAUAAGGUCAGAUAUACAUUCAUCGCCAAUUUAUUUGAAGUUCUUCCAUAAUAAAUGUCAUUUGCUACAGAAAACUGUUGCACGAACUUUAAAUUUACCAUAAUAUAACACCUGAGCUUAACUCAACCCCAAAAGUUAGUUAAUGAGUGAGACUUUCCCAAGUUCAUAUAAGCAGAUCACCGGUCCAUUCCCCACCAAUGUGGCACUCUAACACGUUCUUCACGCCCAAGCCCAACUAGAGCGUGAUCAGGGAUGGACCUGGCUCUAAUACUAUGCAAUUGAAUGGAGUUAGUUGUUGUCUUAUUCCAAUAGGUAAGCAAUGUAUAAAUACAGCACGUUAGUGCUAACUUAGGAAAGAAAAAUAAAUAAGGAUCACUACGAGUGUGCUGCGUAACUAUAUCUAUGUAACAACCAAUAACUAAAUUACUUUGUAAUGCAGUGGGAUGAAUGAUGGAUAUGAAACUCAAUGUGGACAAAGAGGAGUGCAACUAUCAGGAGGUCAGAAACAAAGAAUAGCCAUUGCCCGAGCAAUACUCAAGAGCCCGAAAAUCCUGUUGUUAGAUGAAGCAACUAGUGCUCUUGACACUGUGUCUGAAAGCGCGGUCCAAGAAGCACUAGAGAAAAUGAUGGUUGAACGAACAUGCAUUGUCGUGGCUCAUCGUCUAUCAACAAUACAGAAAGCUAGUUCCAUUGCUGUUAUACAAGAUGGAAUAGCUGCAGAACAAGGCUCACAUUCUGAUCUACUUUCUAUAGGAAAAUAUGGUUCAUAUUAUUCUUUGGUAAAGUUACAAGGGGGAAACUCUCCUUACACGUAAACUUAGAAAAAAUAACUUGUCUUGUGCUACAUUUGACAUCAUUUUUGUAAAUUGAGAUAUGGUAUCCGAACCGUUCUUUCACGUUUUCAACGAUAUGACAUUUUUUUAAAAAAGACAAAAUAUUUAUUUUUUCUUGAUAUUAUAAAAGUGAUAAAUGAAAUAAAUAAAUAUAUAUUUAAAAUAGUGGAAAAAUAAAAUUUAAGAGAAGGGGUAAUAUAGUAAUUUCAACAAUAAAUGAGUAGACACAGAAUUUUACUCAUAAAAAAGCUAUGCGCAAACUUGUUUUAUACCUUAUCUUAUUUGUUCUUUCUAUUUAGAUAACACUGAAACGUUUCUCACGUUUUCAAGAACAAGACGUUUUCAUAAAAUAUAAAUUAUUUAUCUUUUCUUGAUAUUAUAAAAGUAAGAAAUGAAAUAAAUAAAUAAAUAUUUAAAAUAGUGGGGGGAAAAUCAAAGAGAAGGGGUAAUAUAAUAAUUGCAACAAUAAAUGAGAUGACACGAAAUUUUACUCAUAAAACGCAAGGGACAAACACGUUUUAUGAUUUAUCUUAUGAGUUCUUUCUAUUUAGGUAUCUCUGAAGUGUUUUUUCACGUUUUUAACGACAUAACCUUUUUUUAAAAGAUAAAAUAUUUAUCUUUUCUUGAUAUUAUAAAAUUAAUAAAUGAUAUAAAUAAAAUAUAUCUAAAAUAGUCGAAAUAUAAUGAUUUUUUUUAAAAGAUAAAUAUUUAUCUUUUCUUUAUAUUAUGAAAGUAAGAAAUGAAAUAAAUAAAUAUAUAUCUAAAAUGGUAGGAAAAUAAAAUAGAAGAGAAGAGGUAAAUGGGUGACACAAAAUUUUACUCAUAUAGUUUUAUGCUUUAUCUUAUCCUCUUUAUAUCUCUGAAGCGUGUUUUCACGUUUUCAACGACAUGACGUUAUUUUUAAGAUAAAAUAUUUCUUUUUUCUUGAUAUUAUUAAAGUAAUAAGUGAAAUAAAUAAAUAUAUAUCUAAAAUAGUGAAAAAAUAAAAUUAAAGAGAAGGGGCAAUAUAGUAAUUUCAAUAAUAAAUGAGAUGACACAGAAGCUUACUCAUAAAACGCAUUUGACAAAAUAAAAUUGAUGAGAAAGGGUAAUAUAGUAAUUGCAACAAUAAAUGAGAUGACACGGAAUUUUACUCAUAAAACGCAAGGGACAAACACGUUUUAUGAUUUAUCCUAUGAGUUCUUUCUAUUUAGGUAUCUCUGAAGCGUUUUUUCAGGUUUUCAAUGACCUGGCCUUUUUUAAAAAGAUAAAAUAUUUAUUUUUCUUGAUAUUAUAAAAGUAAUAAGUGAAAUAACUAAAUAGAUAUUUAAAAUAGUGAAAAAUAAAAUAGAAGAGAAGGUGUAAUAUAGUAAUUUCAAUAAUAAAUAAUUAGACACAGAAUUUUAUUCAUAAAACGCAAUUGAAAAACUUGUUUUAUGGUUUAUCUUAUCUGUUCUUUCUAUUUAGAUAUUUUUGAAGCAUUUUUUCACGUUUUCAAUGACAUUACUUUUUUUUAAAAGAUAAAUAUUUAUCUUUUCUUUACAUUAUAAAAAGUAAGAAAUGAAAUAAAUAUAUAUAUAUAAUAUAUAUAUAUAUAGUAGGAAAAUAAAAUUAAAGAAAAGGGGUAAUAUAGUAAUUUUAACAAUAAAUGAGAUGAUACAAAAUUUUACGUGACGAGAUUAAAAAACUUUAAUUGCUUUUUAAAUUAUUUUUUAUAUGAUGAGUUUAAGAUAUUUUUGACUGAUUUAAUAUUGAAUUUGAUUAUUGCGUUAAUGUUUAAUUAUUCUAAAGAAUAGUUCAACAAUAAUUAAGAAAAUGUAUUAAUUUGUAUAUAUCAAAGUUAUCGAUUGCUUUAUCAUCAACAACUUACAAAGACACCACCUUGAAAUCCGUGCCCACAUUGAACGGAUAUGAAUUUUUCUAAACUUUUAUUUAAUAAAAAGACACCACUAACAAGUUACAAUAAAAAAGAAUCUUUCAUUUUUUUUAAAAAAAAUUAUAUUAAAAAUAAAAAAAUAUUUUCGAUAAAAAAAAUUAUUUAAUAUUUAAUAUCUAUAAAAUUAUUUUAAAUUUAUAUUUUUAUAAUUCAAUUAAAAAAAUAUUUUCUAUUCAAUAAUCGUAUCCAGUGCACCAUAUUUUUUGGCGAUUACCACUCAUAUUAUUGUGUUUAGUAGAUAUUUUAGGUGCAUAAUUGAUCUCUUCUUUAAAACUAGGGGCACUUAUUAUUAUACAUCCACUUGACACUUGCUUUAGUUGGCUAUUUUUUUUAUUUUUUAUUUUUUGUCAACUACCCCAAUUUAAAUUUUAUUUGAUUAAGAUAUUUUUAUGGACCUACUUUAUAAUUAAAAAUAUUUUCUAUUUGAAAAGGAAGGACAAAAAUCAUACAAUUUUGGUCCAACUACUCCUCUCUUUUUUUUUUUGGCUUUAUAAAAAAGGAAAGUGAUUAGUAAUAAAUAAUUAAAUAAUGAAAAAAGGAGGAAAUAAAAUUUUCGAAUUAAAAUGUAAAAGAGAAAAAGGAGAGGGAGUAAUCAUUGUUUAACUUUAUCUAAAGUACCCCAAUUCGAUUUUACAUGUAUAUCAAAUUAUACAAAUAUUUUAUUAAAAUAUAGAUAUUGAAUAAUUUUAUUAUUCUUGAACAUGUAAAUAAAAAUUAUCUAUUAUUUCAAUUUUUAUAUAAACUAUUAUUUGAAAUCUCAAUUAUGAUUUUUUAAUAUCACUUUCUAUCCAUGAUAAUUUCAGCUUAAAAAGUUUUGUCAAUAAUUACAUUAAUUUUGUUGAUGAGGAUGACAAGAUUUCGGUCAUCAAUUACAUAUACACAAAUUGAAAUAGUAAGCAACUUGAUUUUUUUUCUCAUAAUGAUAAUGACAAAGACACGAAAAGACAAUUCAAUAUUCACAUUGAUUUAUUUUUAUAUGAUAAUAAUUACAAUAAUAAUAUUCUUAUAAAGAAAGAGAUCAAUUUUGACUGAUCCAAAAAUUUAUUUAUUUUUACUAUACCAACGUCACUAAUUAUAUCUAAUAAUGUAAAACAAUUCAAUCUUACUUAAAUAUUAAUUUGAAAUAAACUAUUUUUAUAACGAAAUUACUAAAUUUAUCCAAUAACAAAAAGGUCUUAAGAAGACAUAAAUUCUUUUUUUGUAAUGCUCAAAUAAAUUUGAGUAAAAAAGAAUGAAAUUGAGUGAUUUUUUUUUAAUCAUAAGAAAAUAAAUAAUUAAUUUCAAUAUAAUAAAACAGUAAUAUAAUUUCAUAAAUGGAAUUCAAUACUUACCUCUUAGAUAUAAAAAAUAAAUAUAAAAAUAAAGUGUUUCUAAUAAACCCGCAAUUUAAAUAAAAUAUUUAAUAUUUUCAAUCAAAUUUAAAUAAUUAUAUUAAAAUAUCGUAGAAAAAGAGCAAUAUAUAAUACAAGAAAGAAGAUUUAAGUACAAUUAUCAACUAUUAUUAUACUCUAAUUUUGUUAUAUUUAAUUUCUUACGGUUAAGGUCAUGUUCACGAUAAACUCAAAAUACGCUGUAUGAGGACAUAUUUUAAAUUUUAACCAAUAAUAAAACUAAGUUAUUUUUAGUAUAUUUUUUUGUUUAACGUGACUUAAUUUUUCUUUUCUAGAGGAGCGUGUAAGUGUCAACCUCAUUCUCCUAAUUUUCCCAACCACAUAAAAAAAAAAUAAAGGUAGCUUUUGCGUGUUGAUUUGGUACACUACACGUCAUUAUUACACGUGUUUUCGUAUGAUUGGUUAAUCCAUGAGGCGGUUUCCUCUAGAGUCGGCCAUACCAUCUAUAAAAUAAAGCUUUCUGCAGCUCAUUUUUUCAUCUUCUAUCUGAUUUCUAUUAUAAUUUCUCUGAAUUGCCUUCAAAUUUCUCUUUCAAGGUUAGAAUUUUUCUCUAUUUUUUGGUUUUUGUUUGUUUAGAUUCUGAGUUUAGUUAAUCAGGUGCUGUUAAAGCCCUAAAUUUUGAGUUUUUUUCGGUUGUUUUGAUGGAAAAUACCUAACAAUUGAGUUUUUUCAUGUUGUUUUGUCGGAGAAUGCCUACAAUUGGAGUUCCUUUCGUUGUUUUGAUGAGAAAGCCCCUAAUUUGAGUGUUUUUCCGUCGAUUUGAUUUUAAAGGUUUAUAUUCGAGUUUUUUUCGUCGGUUUAAUGAGAAGGCCUAAAAUAGGAGUUUUUCUGGUUGAUUUGACUAAAAAAGCCAUGGAAUUUUGUGUUUUUGAUGUCGCUUUGGUUCUCAAGGCCUAAGAUCUGAGUUUCUCCGGUUGUUUUGAUGAAAAAGCCCUAAAAUUGGAGUUUUUAUCUUGUGUUUUAGGUUGUUUUAAUCCUUAUAAUUUGAGUUUUUUCGUUGUUCUGAUUGUUGUUUUUAUGAAUUUUGCAGAUGCAGAUCUUUGUGAAAACUCUCACCGGAAAGACUAUCACCCUAGAGGUGGAAAGUUCUGAUACAAUCGACAACGUUAAGGCUAAGAUCCAGGAUAAGGAAGGAAUUCCCCCGGAUCAGCAAAGGCUUAUCUUCGCUGGAAAGCAGUUGGAGGACGGACGUACUCUAGCUGAUUACAACAUCCAGAAGGAGUCCACCCUCCAUUUGGUGCUCCGUCUACGUGGUGGUAUGCAGAUCUUCGUGAAGACUCUCACGGGUAAGACGAUUACCCUUGAGGUCGAAAGCUCAGACACCAUUGACAACGUCAAGGCUAAGAUCCAGGAUAAGGAAGGCAUUCCCCCAGACCAGCAGAGGUUGAUCUUUGCAGGAAAGCAGUUGGAAGAUGGCCGCACCCUAGCUGACUACAACAUCCAGAAGGAGUCCACCCUCCAUUUGGUGCUCCGUCUCCGUGGUGGUAUGCAGAUCUUCGUUAAGACUCUUACCGGAAAGACCAUCACUUUGGAGGUGGAAAGCUCCGACACCAUUGACAACGUGAAGGCUAAGAUCCAGGAUAAGGAAGGGAUCCCCCCAGACCAGCAGAGGUUGAUCUUCGCUGGAAAGCAGCUCGAGGAUGGUCGCACCCUGGCUGACUACAACAUCCAGAAGGAGUCUACCCUCCAUCUUGUCCUCCGUCUCCGUGGUGGUAUGCAGAUUUUUGUUAAGACCCUCACCGGAAAGACCAUCACUUUGGAGGUGGAAAGCUCCGACACCAUUGAUAAUGUUAAGGCUAAGAUCCAGGACAAGGAGGGAAUUCCUUCAGACCAGCAGAGGUUGAUUUUCGCUGGUAAGCAGCUCGAGGACGGCCGCACCCUUGCCGACUACAACAUCCAGAAGGAGUCGACCCUUCACCUUGUCCUCCGUCUACGUGGUGGUAUGCAAAUCUUUGUGAAGACCCUUACCGGGAAAACCAUCACCCUGGAGGUUGAGAGCUCCGACACCAUUGACAAUGUCAAGGCCAAGAUCCAAGACAAGGAGGGUAUUCCCCCAGACCAGCAGAGGUUGAUUUUUGCUGGCAAGCAGCUCGAGGAUGGCCGCACUUUGGCGGACUAUAACAUCCAAAAGGAGUCGACCCUGCACUUGGUGCUUAGGCUGAGGGGAGGAAUGCAGAUCUUUGUGAAGACCUUGACCGGGAAGACCAUCACUUUGGAGGUGGAGAGUUCUGACACCAUCGACAAUGUGAAAGCUAAGAUUCAGGACAAGGAGGGGAUCCCACCAGACCAGCAGAGGUUGAUUUUCGCUGGUAAGCAGCUUGAGGAUGGCCGCACCCUUGCUGACUACAAUAUCCAGAAGGAGUCCACCCUGCACCUUGUCCUCCGUCUCCGUGGUGGUUUUUAAGUUGUGGUUGUCUGGUUGCGUCUGUUGCCCGUUGUCUGUUGCCCAUUGUGGUGGUUGUGUUUGUAUGAUGGUCGUUAAGGAUCAUCAAUGUGUUUUCGCUUUUUGUUCCAUUCUGUUUCUCAUUUGUGAAUAAUAAUGGUAUCUUUAUGAAUAUGCAGUUUGUGGUUUCUUUUCUGAUUGCAGUUCUGAGCAUUUUGUUUUUGCUUCCGUUUACUAUACCACUUACAGUUUGCACUAAUUUAGUUGAUAUGCGAGCCAUCUGAUGUUUGAUGAUUCAAAUGGCGUUUAUGUAACUCGUACCCGAGUGGAUGGAGAAGAGCUCCAUUGCCGGUUUGUUUCAUGGGUGGCGGAGGGCAACUCCUGGGAAGGAACAAAAGAAAAACCGUGAUACGAGUUCAUGGGUGAGAGCUCCAGCUUGAUCCCUUCUCUGUCGAUCAAAUUUGAAUUUUUGGAUCACGGCAGGCUCACAAGAUAAUCCAAAGUAAAACAUAAUGAAUAGUACUUCUCAAUGAUCACUUAUUUUUAGCAAAUCAGCAAUUGUGCAUGUCAAAUGAUUUCGGUGUAAGAGAAAGAGUUGAUGAAUCAAAAUAUCUGUAGCUGGAUCAAGAAUCUGAGGCAGUUGUAUGUAUCAAUGAUCUUUCCGCUACAAUGAUGUUAGCUAUCCGAGUCAAAUUGUUGUAGAAUUGCAUACUUCGGCAUCACAUUCUGGAUGACAUAAUAAAUAGGAAGUCUUCAGAUCCCUAAAAAAUUGAGAGCUAAUAACAUUAGUCCUAGAUGUAACUGGGUGACAACCAAGAAAGAGACAUGCAAAUACUACUUUUGUUUGAAGGAGCAUCCCUGGUUUGACAUAUUUUUUCUGAAUAUCAAACUUUGAAACUCUACCUAGUCUAAUGUCUAACGACAGAUCUUACUGGUUUAACUGCAGUGAUAUCUACUAUCUUUUGGAAUGUUUUCUCCUUCAGUUAUACAUCAAGUUCCAAGAUGCAGGUGUGCUUGAUUGAUGUACAUGGCUGUGAGAAGUGCAUCCUGAUGUUCAGAUGAUGGUUCAUUCUAAUGUCUUUUCCUUCAAUCAGUUUUCUCAGUCUGACUUAGCUUGUUUCAUCUGCAUGUUUGAAUGUUCGUUUACUCAUAGUAAUUGCAUUUUUGUAGCAGAACAUAUCAUUGGUCAUGGUUUCAACUGUGCGCGAGUCUUAUGCUUAUUCAAACUAGGAAAGCCUCCGUCUAGAGGGUACACGAGUUGUUGCUCUGUGUGCGUCAGUCCAUAGUAUUAAUCUUGCUAGUUGUAGUAUAUUGUUUAUGUGGACUCGGAAUUCAUCAUAUGCUCCUUCUUUGCAUCAAGUAAGGCAAGGUAAUGUAUAGAAGCUUUUUAACUCUUUCAUGGAAGCUGGCCUUUGCCAGCAUACCAUCCAGAAGAUAUCAACCCUGCAUCUUGGCUGCCGUCUCCAUAGUGAUUUUUUGAACUGUUGCUGGUUGUAGAUAUCUUCUUGUGCCAGUCCCUUCUGUCCAUCGUUUUGUGUGUUGCUUCAUGAUCUGCCCUGUCCAAUCAAAACCUCAUGUAUUUUCUCAUGUUUCUGUUCAUUACAACUUGUGUGAUUCUGUGUUGUGGACAAGCAAAACGAUGCCAGACAACUUAUGAUUUUGUGCGUGUGUGGUUUCAAUCAGGUAAGCAGAAGACGGUAACCAGACAAUUUUUUCUUGGGAUAUAGGAGUUAAUGCCCGUUACUUUUCGGACAACCUUGAUCCAUAAGAACUACCAAAUCAAAAUUUCUGAAUCAUGACAAGAAAUAUAUUCUAGCAGAGCAUGACUCUGAUGGUUGUUAUCCCAGUAUGAAGUUGAUGCCACACUGUUAUUCAUGAUUGGACUGGAUCUUGCUAGGAAGCAAAGUUCUCUUCAAUUAUUCAUGUAGUGUUUAUCAAUCUGUUGAGGUGCAGCAUACCAGGGUCUUCCCUUACAGUUGGAGACGGACAAGUUAAUUGUUAACGGAGUGCUACUUUUCAUGGUAGAAUGUUGGACCGUUCUUUUUCCCUAUCCUUCUUAGUUAUGUUCCAUGAAACAAUGCUGUGUGAACUGAAACUGUGAACUGAAACCAACUCCAGAUUACUGUUCUCUUCCCGUAUUUCUCCUUUCAAGACUUGUUUUCGGUCUGACAUCACUAUUCAGUAUAGUGUCCUAAUACUUGCUCAACGAUUCCUCUAAUUUUUUUUUUCAUUUAGGAGAGAAGAAGACUACAUGGACAAUGAUGAGACAACUGGAAUGAUUGAUAGCUCUAUGUACCUCUGUUCUCUUCUUUGGUAUCAACUCCUGGACUUGGAAUAUUUUGUGAACUCAGCAGUACAUGAUGAGUGGAUGAAUUUAUGAUCAAUUUGUUACAAGGCAGACUACUGACUAGAAGUUCAACAAGAGAAGCAUAAAAAACUUAUGGUUUUCUAGUGACAAGUAAGAGGCAAUGUAGUUAUGAACACCUCAUCCAAUUUUCUUUUGGUACAUUUCAGGCAACAUGGAUGGAACGGAAAUUACCAAAUGAAGAAGUUCUGAAUAUAUUUGAGCAGAGUCUGAUGCGGAUGUAGUUAUCCUAGUAUGAAGAUGAUGGACAUUUGUGCCCGGAUUAGAGUGUACUAGUACUGCUGGAUCAAACUAGAGAGAUGCUAAUUAAUAUCUAUCAUGGAGUGCUUAAUUGCCUAUAGUGUAUUGAGGUUGUCCCUAUGAUCUUACCUGUCUCUCUACUUUAAGUAGCGGUUCACGUUUUUCAUGAAUAUCAGUGUUUUAUUGGCAAGAAUUAUAAGUUCAUUUUUAGUUGCAUUAGCAGAAGACAUUGUGUAGAUUGUUUUCACCUGAGAGCUCAACUCAACCCGUUCCUGUAUGGGUGCCACUUCUUUUUUCUCCACAUGGAGUAGAGCAGAAGUAUGUUGACAAUGAUUAGGCAAUUGGAAUAAAGAGGACAACACUAUGUACAUCUAUUUCCUUCUUUGGUAUCAACUCUACUGGGCUUCUGGUAGUCGCGCUUGCUACAUUCCUGGCUUUGUUAUUGAUUCAAUAAUGUUGUGGAGAUCCCAGCCUCUGGUAGUCGUGCUAGGUACUAUUUCAAUUCGUUGAUCUGUUUUUUCACUUAAGAUAUUUCACAUUGUCAAGUACAUGAAAACUGCAUGAAUUUAAUUUGUGAUCAAUUGCCACAAGGCAGACUUUAGGGACUGGAUGUACAAUCAAGGGAAGCAUUAUUAACUUACUGGCUGGCCUAGUAACAAGAAGUACAGGACCAUUUUAUACUGUAAUUACCACUGCUUAUAAUUUUCUUUGAGAUAGUUGAUGCUGCAUACGUUUCAGACAACUUUGAUCUGCAUGGAAUCACACAGAAAAAUUUCUGAAUUAUGAAGAGGAAUUUGAUGUGAACGAGGCUGAUAGCUAACUUAAUAAGAAGAUGAUGUUGGAUCCAGCUAGGUGAAGCACUACAUAGCAACUUUCAUAUGGCGUGUGUCAGUCUAUUGAGGUGCCAUCGGGUCUUCCCGGUCUCUCUUCCUUCAGAUUGAGGUUAGCCUAUUUUAUGGAUGCCAGUAGCUUUUUGGCAGGAACUUGAGCUAGAAUUAUGUCUCAGCAUUUGGAGAUGACUGGUUAAACUGCUUAUGCAGUGCUAUUUUUUCAAUGUAGGACUUUGGUUUGUUCCUUUUGCUCUUAUAUUUCUACACUAGAGUUUCAAGAACGACAUACAGGAGUGUGAUGGGAUAGAUAUACACUUCAUGGAGUGGAACCAACACAUUCUCUUCCCAUAUUUUUUUCCUUUCACAACUUGCUCUCGCUCUUAUGCUGCAAUUUCGUAUUUUUCCUUAAUUUUAAUUUCUCAGAAUGUGUAUUUCUUGCAGAAGGCCUCGUCUGGACUGUUUUACUCCUGUUAUGGUUGUGUAUAUCUUGCAGAAGGCCUCGUCUGGACUGUUUUACGCCUGUUAUGGUUACUCAAACAAGGCAACGGUGCCUCCUUUUAACUCAGUCAAAUCGUUUUCUGGUUUGCUUUCAAUCAGGUGAGCAGAGAACUGUUGACAAUGGAGAGAGACUCGGAGAAACGAGAGAGGGCCAUCUUAAGAUUUGAUUCAGUAACGUUGUGGAGCUCCCAGGUUGUAUCUUCAAGACUCAAGCUCUCAACUAUUCAAAUCUUUGAUCUAUUUUCCGUGUAGGAUAUUAUGCAGACUUCGGAUAUAUGUAGAUUUACAGGAAUCUCUAAUCAAUCACAGUGAAUUGUGUCGAGGCAGACUUUACAGACUGAAAGCCUGACAAGAGAAAAGCAGACUCACUAGUCUUCCAGUGACAGUUUGAAGGCUAUUUGAUAACGAGAACUGCUUGCCUUUUAGACAACCUUGAUCGUAAAUCAAAAUUUCUGGAUCUUGACGAGGUAUUUGAGCAGAAUGAAGCUCUGAUGGUACUUAUCCCAGUAUGAAGCUGAGGUCCUCGAUCCAGCUAGGGAAAGAUACUGUUAGCAACUAUUCAUGGUAUGUGUUCACAACUCGAGUCCCCCCAUCUCUUUUCGAGGCACAUUGGACCGCAGAAACUUAAGCUCUAUAUAAUAUCUCUCUGUUAAACAAUUUAGAGACAACUGGUUCACUGCUAACAUCACUAGUUGUCAAAGGCAUAACUUUGGAUUGGUCUUCUUUUCAUAUCCUUGAAAAAACUAGUUUCAAGAACCACAUACACCAGUUAUAAAAUCAAUAGUUUAUCAUUCUUUUUCUUUGAAGUCUAGUUUUCUAUCUGACAUUGCUCUCACCACAUUUUUUCUAUGUUGAUUCUCAUCUAUAAUUGUAUGUCUCUUGCAGGCAUCCUAUCUUGUUUUACAUAUGUUAUGGUUAUAUAUCUAAUAAAUCAAAGGCAAUCGCUACCUCCUAAAACUCAUUCAAGUUGUGAUAUUAGUUUUAUUAGCUGUACUUGAAGUUGAUGAAUUGUGAAUUGUAACUUCAAAUCCCUCUUUAGAUGUUGUGAAUGCUUAUCUAUAUAUAUAUAGAUGGGCGGCACCAAGAUUUUAACCUUUUUCGGUUCUAAAUUUUUGAACGGGCUACUUCAAAUGUUAAUAACUGAGUUCUAAAUUUAAUAUUUAUAUAUAUUUAAUAAUUUUUUAAUGUAAAUGCAUUAUUAAGCUAAAGCUAAUGGAUUUGACUAAUUUUAAGCUCGAACUUUUAGAAGUUCUAGCUCCGCUCUCGUAAAUAUAUGAUAACCUUGCUGAUGAACUAUUCAACAUUUUAUCAAAUAUUUAAAUAUGUGUUUUUUUUAAUAUAAAAAGAGUUAUUGUUUAUUUGUGAGUGGUUGGGUAUGAAACUUGUAAAACGGUAAUUCAACAGUAAAUUCAUAAUUGUAAUUCAAAUUAAGGACUUUAUAUAUCGAAUGAUACAAAAUUAUAUUUUGAAACGAAUCUAUCUUUUAUGGGCAAAAGUAGACUAACUCAAAAGUUCAAGGACUCAAAAGGUAAUUUUAACAGUCCCACGAGUCUACGCUGGUCCGUCACACAGAGUAUUGUAUCUCCCUUUGUUACUUUUUUUAGACCGACCUAACAAAAAAGUGGCAAAAGCAUAUCUUUAUUAGCUGAUUUCACAUUACAUUUUGCUUUUCUUUUCUUCUUCUUCUGUGUACUGACGACUUUUCUGUGCUUUGCUCAAAAGACUUAUCCGGAUUUUGGGGUCUGCUGUAUUGCUAUCGUCUUCAAUCUUUACCAACCCUAACCUUCGGAUCAGGUAAUAUCUUCAAUACCCACUUGUUUCUUUUGGUUGAUAAUCUGUAGAUCCGGCGUAUUAGGUUUGUUUUGUUUGACUGGUAGUUAUUUAUGUGAUAAAGAUCGGAUUUUUAUUUCAAGAAUUGGGGGAAUUUUGGGGAUUUUGGGAUAGAGAUGUUGAUUUAUGAUGGUCUUUGUGUUGGUUUUGCAUAGGUUGAUUAACUUCAGGGGUAUUUGUUACUGGAUAGAUGAGAAGAAUGAUCUAGUGUUUUGUGUAUGUGUUCUGGUUGUUCUAUUCUUGGUGUUGUGAGGCUUCUGGAAUGAUCUGGUUAUGUGAUCAUAUAUUUAUGAAAUUUAACAUUAAGGUUUUGAGUUUUUGGUGUCUUAUGAAGCUUUUGUAUUGGGUUGUUUUAUCUUUUUUUUUUUGGCCUGAUUGUGAUUGUAUUAUUUUUUAAGAAGUUUCUCUAGAGCUAUGAACUUUUUCUGAUGCAAGUUUAGGGCCUUUUGCUUUUGGGUUGUUUCCUGUUAUUUCUUGAGGAAUUGGAAUUAUUUAGGACUUUUGUAAUAGAGUUUUUCAUUUCUGAUUCUCAGUGAUAUUUUAUUUUGGGUUUGUGUUCUCUUGUUGAAUUCUAGUUGUAUAUUUGAAGGAUUUUGAUAUCACUUUGGAAUUUGUAUUGCUAUUUUUGUGCUUAUUAUAGUUAUCUGUUGAGUGGACUAAUAUGGUUGUUGGGGGAAUAAAGAUGUGUGUAGGACUACCUUUUCAAAUUCUGUUUUUGUGAAGGAUUUCUUUUUCUGAUGAAUAAGUUUCUGUAUUUGGUGCAUCUGGAAUGAAAGGAAUUAUAGAUGUUUUGAUGGGAUUUCAGUUCCUAACCACAUUCUUAAAUCUAAUUGUUUAGUCUUCUUAUAUGGUUGGUUUAGGCCUCUGUGGAAACUGUUGAUCUUUUUUUUUUGGGACUUCAGUUAUUUUGUAAAUUCUUGUACAGGAGCAGACCUCUCCUUUUUGCUGUAAUUUUUUGCUUACAUCUUUUUGAUGCCUUCUAACAAAUUGGGCUUUUACCAGUUCUUUUGCCUCCUGCUUCUCUUUAUACUAAAAACAUGUGUGGGUCAUCUCUUUCUAUUGUACAUAUGGCAUGCAAGAUGAUAAUGGAUUGCCUCUUUCUAUUGUACAUUCGACAUGCGAGAUGAUAAUGAUAUCUGUCUGAAUGUGUCUCUUGUGUAUUGUUUUGGUAAAAAGUAUUGGAAUUUUCUGCAGGACUUCUAUGUUGGUGCUGUACUGCAAAAACUGUCUGUAUCUGAUAUAUAGGCAAUCUUUUGUUGUGGUUUUUUCUUUUCCAACUCUGUUUGCUACUAAAGCCUUCUUUCAUCUGUUCAAGUUUAUUUCCUAUUUAGCUUUUGAGUUUCCUGCUUUUUGGAUAGGAUAUGCUGGUUUGUAUUGAUAAUCUGAUAUAACUGCUUGUCUACUGUAUAGGAUAUUUAGAUCAUCCCUUGUUAUUGUACGCGUGCAAGAUGAUAACAGUCUAUGUUGAUGGUUGUCACUGCUUGAGACGUGGAAUUUGACUCUUGUUUAUUAUUUUUUGUAAUAGCUGCUUUUUCAUCUGCCUAGGUCUGAGCAUCCAAGUUUCGAGAUCUGUGUGCUCCUGUUGUCUUCUACUCUCAGCCAAGUUUCAUGUCUGAUCUCGACGUCCAAAUUCCUACCGCUUUUGGUAUGGGGCCUCCUUAAAUCAUCUCCUCUUUUAGUGCAAUUUCGUGUAUCUCUCGUCUUAUAAUCAGAUCAGUAAAUCAGUUUCAGUUUAAUGUUAUAAAGUUUGGGUUCAUGUUCUAUUAAUGUAUAGUAAAAGUCUAGAUGCAAAAAAGGGAAAGGAUUGAGUAGAAAACAUGUUAAUUCAGAGGAUAUGAGUUAUAUCUUCUUUAUCUUCCAUGCCUGAAUAAUCUUGGUGCUUUAUCAUGCUAUGUAGAUCCCUUUGCUGAGGCAAAUGCUGAUAACUCUGGUGCUGGGUCAAAAGAUUACGUGCACAUCCGUAUACAACAAAGGAAUGGUAGGAAAAGCCUGACAACUGUGCAGGGGUUGAAGAAAGAAUUCAGCUAUAACAAGAUACUGAAGGAUCUCAAGAAAGAAUUCUGCUGCAAUGGUACUGUUGUCCAGGAUCCUGAACUAGGCCAGGUUUGUAACUUUUCUUUCUAGUGUCUGUCUCUGUAAUUCGAGUUCCAUGACUAAUCUAUGUGUUCUGUUGUUAUGAAGGUUAUUCAACUUCAGGGUGACCAGAGGAAGAACGUUUCUACCUUUCUUGUCCAGGUGAGUGUGGUGCAGAUUGAGCAUGUCUUUUUGCUCGUUCAAUAUUAAGUUAUAAUUAGAUGCUAAAAAAGCUUAUAAUUAUGUCAUGUAUUAAGAAUCAUCUUUUUAUUACACGUUUUGCGUUAACUUCUUCUGUCAAUCCAGAAUUGUAUCUUUUGAACUGAAGUGGGUUAGUAUUAGGCUGAGCUGUGCUCAUUAACAAUAAAAAAGCUCUUUUGGUUCAGUAAUCUUUUAGAUGGUGGGUCUUUACGUACUGGGAGUUACUUUGUUGAAGAUUCACUGGGCACUGGCAAGGGUGGGGAUUAUAGGACAGACAUUGACAAAUUAACAACUCUACUAAUUCUGUAGCUCUACUUAAUUGAUAAUUUGAUAUGUUGCGGAACUUUUAUCUUUUCAGUUGUUAUCUACUAUGUACUUUGUUGCUAAUUUUCUCCUUUUUGGAUUCGCGAAAGCAGGCUGGAAUCGUGAAGAAAGAGCACAUCAAAAUUCAUGGUUUCUGAUUGCUCUCAUCAGCCUCAGCUGCACAGAUAUUGUACUUGUUAUGUCAGUGCCAGAGAUAUGCUAUCCAAACUCAGUUCUACUAAGCUUGCUACUGUUUAAUUUCUUCUGGUUUGAUAUAAACACUAUAUUUGCUUCUCUAUGUUUGGUCUGAAUAUGAAUCGUGUUAUAUUUUCAAGCACUUCACAAACCAAUGAUAAUAUAACUGUGUGCUCAAAGGACGUGAACCUUGUCGUUUUGGAUUGUUGCUGAUCAUUUUAGAAUUUGCCGCAUGUGUAGCAGUACUAGUUCAUGUGCUUUAAUACCAGUUGAUAUUGUUUGGAAUCAUUCUCGAUUUGCUGGUUCUUGGAAUUCUACUGUUGGACUUCAGUACUGAAUGGUAGGUUAGGGGUCAUCCAAUCUUUAAACUUCGUUAGAUCUGUUUCUUUUGUCUAGUGCAGACUAGGCACAUCAUCGUCUGGAUACACUACAGAAGCCCAGUAUUUAAGUGAAGAUGAGUAGUACAGCUACUGAUUAAGAUUUGUUUCACUUUCUUACUAUGUUAGUCGUCGCAUGCAUGCUGCGAUUCUUGAUCUCUAGAUUUCAAGAUCCAUUGUGAGAUCUUCGUUCUUGCCAUCAUAGCAACUUCAGGUGCAUGUGCUUGCCAUUUUUGGGCGUCUUAGUUUUUUCAAUGGGAUAACUAAGUCACAUGUGGUGACUAAGUUAUAUCUCGAGAUAACUAGUUUUAGGGCGAGUAUUCUGGGAUAACUAGUUCUCGACCAAGCGAUCUAGUCAGGAAUCGAUAAGCUAAGUUUGCCGUUGUAGAUACCAUAAGGAAGGCUUCGUAUUUACAACAAUAAUGAGGACAUUUUUUCUACUUCACUAGGGGAUUUGACUCGGAAAGGAUAAUAUUCAAUGACACUUCCUAUCCUAUUUUUCCUUUCAAUUUUUAUUAUUUUAUGUGUUAGGGGGGUUGGGAUGCAAUUUUUAAAUAUUAAAUUAAAUUAUUUAUGUUCAACUUUUAGAUCGAUAAUUAAAUUCCGAUUUUUUGGGGUGUGUACACUCCUAUUUAUGUGUUCCUUUGGUCAAGUGGAUUUUCCUUUCCCUCCCUAUCAACAUCAUAGAAAUAGAUUUUUAUCUCCUAAAGAUACUCUCCAAAUAUUUUUGUACACCACCGGUUUGUUCAUAACUUUAAAUUGUUCGAUUAUUGCUAGAACUAAAAAACAAAAAUAGUGAGGCUCUUAAUUCUAAAAAUAAUAAUAGUGCUAACCACUAUCUUUAUAUCGAAGAGAAAAAUGAUGGUGAAAUUUAACGCUUGCGUCAGGAUUAAAAAAUUGACACCACAAAAUUGUUGUGUAGUCAAAUACUUUUAGAAAGCAACUGUUUUCACCAAAUGUAUUUAUUUUUAGAGACCUUGAAGGGGCACUUAUGAUCGGGGGAGGUUUGUAUGCAGGUUCAUAGAAAUUUAAAAUAUUUGCAAAAAUUAUCGUCAUAAAUAUUUGAAGUUGAAUUCGAUUAUUGUUAGAACCGUUUGGUAGAUUUGAAGAUGAGUUAUAUAGAUAAAAAUUUAUAUAUAUAAGUAGUACUUGUUCAGUAGAUGGUUAGAAAGGGUUUGCAAUUUUUGAAAUUAUGUAGAUGAUAUACGAGUAACCAAUACUAAUAAUAUAAUGAUUUACUUAUAACUAAUUAUUGUAUUAUCAAGUGUAACUCUAGCUUUAACCAGUGAUCGAACGAUCUUUGAUAACAUAAUCUUAAAAUAGCUACGACACAAUAAUGAAUUCAAUGUGAUUUUUGUGUAAGGACUGAAAAGGUGAAGUGUACGUAAACCUUAUUUCUAUCUUCUGAAUCUCGAACUUUCUUGAAAUUGCAUACAAUAUGAAUUUGUGUUUGAUUAUGAAAGAAAAAAACAAAUAGUAUUUGCCCCCAAUAGAUUUUGUUAAUGUGGUGGAAGGAGAUAUUUUUAUUUCUAAAAUAGCAAGUGUCUUUUUCACUUAUAACAACCUCACAAAAUGAUGAUCAAAGAAGGGCCAACUCAAAAAGUAUGAAAAGACUAGAAAGGACAACACAAUGACACCUAAAAAAAAUAAUGAAGCUAAUUUUGGACCAUUCAACAUGUCUAUAAAUCAAAUCCACGCUAUCACUUUCAAAAUCGAAAUUAAAAUUUUAAAUUUAUAAAUUUUAUCUUUGAAUAAUAAGCUUAUAACAUAUACGUCUUUUAUAAGUACGAUAUUUAAAUAAGAAUUUUAUUGGGCUCGUAAUUGAUAUUCUAGCAUAACUCUUGUCCUUGCGGCUUGCAUGAGAGGAUAUUCAAUAAUGUUGUAUGGAAAUUGAAAUAACCUACAUAUUAUAUUAAGGAAGCCAUAGCCAAAUUAAAUAGUUAUAAUAUUUGUUGUUCAUCACUAAUUAUCGAUCGUAGAGACAAUUUUUUUACCGAGUUAAUGUUCAAUAUUUAUUAUAUAAUGAUGUGAUUUUCCAAAGAUGCGAUUCAAAUGAAUCCUUUUAACCCCUGUCGUGCCACUUAUAAUAUGAAAACAUAUAUAUUGCAUCAAUUUGCAUGUUUGGUUUUGGAACUCUUUUUAAUCGGGACAACUUUUGAAUACCUCAAGAGAAUCGUGGAUGGUUGAUCACCAGCAUCGAUCAUCAUGGACGUAUAUAUAUAAUAAGAUAAAAAUGGUUUAAAUUAAUUGUUAUACACUUCUUUGUUUUUAUACGAUCUUCAAUAUUAUAAACUACUAAUAUUCUAGGACAGUAAUUUUUUAUUUAUUUAUAAUAUAUGGAAUUUAUAUAUAUAAUAAUAUAUAGGAUACUAAUAUAUAUUGGGUUUUCCUAGGACAAGAAAUUGUUAAAAAUCAAGAUAAAUAAUCCAAUUAAAACUGGGCCCUCUACUUUAAUACAUCAAAAGGCCCAAUAUUGCAAAACCACUUGCAGAAGAAGUGGGCCAGCCUUACUGUAUCAUUGAUUAAGACCCUUCAAAUCCUAUCCUUCUCAAAAUUAAAGUUUUUAUUUUUUUUAAAAAAGAAAAAAAAAUAUAUUUAGUGUAAUUUUACUAUUGAGGUCUACGGGGUUAAUAUGUAUGCACGGGUGGUGGUUCAUUACACAUCUUUCGUCAGAAAGUUAUGCGGUAUACAGAGGUGAAAUGUUAUAUAUUAUGAGUGUAUAUUUAAUUAUACACCAUAUUUUAAUUUUGAAUGUGUACAUGCUUUAUUCUUACGUUAGAGGUAUAGAGGUUGAUUUCAAUGAUCUCUCGGCUCAAAGAGAGAGUUUUGAUGCAAAAUUAUAAAAAAAAAAAACAAAAAAAAACCCAGUAAAAUAACAAGAUGUAAAUAAAAUGCAUCACUAUAUAGUAAUAUCCUUUUCGAAAUAAAGAAAAAAUUGUAUGCCUAUCUACGUGUCCACUAAUUGGGUUUCUAUCAAUUAUUAUUAUUACUUCCCUCCAUUUAUAUAUCUAAAUGAGUGACUCUUGUUUUAUAUAAUAAUAAAUUUAAAUUCAUACAUUCUAAAUAAAGGGAACAGAUUUUGAUAAAAAAAUAAUAUAUAUUUCCUCUAUCUUAGUUUAAGUAGUUGCUAAAAAGAAAAAAUUAUUUAUAAAAGAAAAUUGCUUUUUAUAUGGUGAGCUUUUAAUUUAUUUUGCAGAUAGUUAAAUUGUUUCUUAACAAAAUUGGAGAUUUUAAUUAUUUCUGAACUUUUGAACAUUAAAAAAGGUUUAGAACUUUUACUGGAGGAAUGUUAAUCAUUUUUCUUACUGUGGUUAUUAAAAUAAGUUAAUCUACAUUUUAAAACUAUGAACACAAUAAUUAUUCUUUUGUUACAUUUUGUGUGAUACUAAAUUUCUUUCUAAAAAUAUAUUAGUUUAAAACAUUAAACUAUCAUUGAAGUGAAGUUCUUAUAAUCGCAUAUAUAUUACUACAGGCUCAAAAUUAUAUAUAUAUUUUUAAAAAUCAGGUGAAAUACAUAGCUUUAAAUUUAUAGUUAAUUUUAUAGCUAACCAUGAUUAAUGAUAUAAUCAAGGGAAAAAAGUCUGAAAAAUAUUUUAAUUUUGGUCGAAAUUAUUGUUGCGAUAUCAGAUAUUAUAGAGGAUCUUUUACUCCUGCACUAUUUCAUCGUAUAUAUGUGCCCACAUGUACACAUUGCUAUUUAUAAUUAUGCAAUAUUUCUACGUCCACGUAGACACAUAUAAACCUUCAAAAUAAAUUAUUGAAUAGUGUAAGGGUAAAAGAUCAUAUACAAAAUUUUGUAUCGUUAUAUCAUUUUUUAUCAAAGUUUGAAUAUAUUUCAGACAUUUUCUCAUAAUCAAAGUAUAUAUAUAUAUAUUUGAUAAUUCAUUUACGUAAUAUGUACAUGAGAACACACACAUAGAAGACAGAUAAAUAAAAUUUGAAUUUAUUUCGACGAACAAUCAUGUCUUCCAACUUUGCAUGUGCACGAGUAGAUACCUAAAUUCAUAUAAAAUUCACAAGUAGACGCACAUAAUAUAUAUGACAUAAUACAGAUAAGAUAUCAUGUAGAAAGAACGUGUCAAUUUGUUUAAUUUAAUAUAAAGUUAAGCGUCUACUUAUGACUAAUAUUUCGUCAAAUUUUAGUAAAAUAGAUAUUUUAUUGAUAUAUAAUAUAAUAUAAUUUAAUAACUAAAUAAAAUAUCGCUAUAAAUUUUAAGGUCGGAGUAGUGCAUGCUUUACAAGUGUUACUUACACUGUAACAUUGCCAGAUAUUUUUCUCAUCACUCAGCUCUACACUUGUCACUCCCCUAUAUAUAUCCUUCUUCUUCCCCUUCCAUUUCCACACUCAAAACUCAAAACACAAUCUUCUCCGCCCUAAAUCCCAGUUCUCAAUUCUUCUCCAUCAAUGGCUUCCACCUUAGCUUCCUCUGUUAUUUCCAAGACUAAUUUCAUUGACACACACAAAUCAUCCUUCUAUGGCGUUCCAAUUUCAUCACAAACUCGAUUGAAAAUCGUUAAAUCGACUCCACAAAACAUGUCUGUUUCCAUGUCUGCUGAUGCUUCUCCUCCUUACGAUCUCGGAAGUUUCAGUUUUAAUCCGAUUAAGGAAUCGAUUGUUGCUCGCGAAAUGACUCGGAGGUAUAUGACGGAUAUGAUUACUUAUGCUGAUACUGAUGUUGUCAUUGUUGGUGCUGGAUCUGCUGGUUUAUCUUGUGCUUAUGAACUCAGCAAGAACCCUAAUGUUCAGGUAUAACUUCUUUUUUUUUUUUAAAUUAUUAAUACCGAGUUCUUAUAGCGUUUUUGAAUUAACAUACAAUAAAAAUUGGGUUUAUCGUUGAUACUAGACUUUUAUCUGCAAUUCGAAUUCGAUCUAGAUUUGAUAUAUGAUAAAUCAAGGCUCAGGUGACUUGUUCUGGCCUCGAUUGUAUCCCUCUCUUGCAAAUUCACGUGAUACUGAUUGACUUGACAUCACGAAUUUUGAAUUUUAUCGGCUCAAAAGAAAACACAGGUUUCCUGUUAAAAGUAUUUUACAACUUUACUUUUACUCAUAAAUCAUGUGAUACUUUUGUCCUUAGCCUAAUUUGCUAGUAUUAAUUUGAGUGGGGCAAUUCACACGUAACACACCAUUCGCGAUCACAAUGAACUCAUUUGAUGUUCUGAUAGCUAUAAUUUUGGUAGAUUACAAUAUCUAUGUUCUUCAAUUUGUUGUUUAUGUGAAUUUACUUUAUAUGUAUAGGUGGCUAUUCUUGAGCAAUCUGUGAGCCCUGGUGGAGGUGCUUGGCUAGGUGGACAACUCUUCUCUGCUAUGGUUGUGCGUAAGCCAGCACAUCUUUUCUUGAACGAGCUAGGCAUUGACUACGACGAGCAAGACAACUACGUGGUCAUCAAACACGCUGCCUUGUUCACCUCAACCAUCAUGAGCAAGCUUUUGGCCAGGCCAAAUGUGAAGCUCUUCAAUGCUGUUGCAACAGAGGACCUUAUCGUGAAGAACGGAAGAGUCGGUGGUGUUGUCACUAACUGGUCUUUGGUUUCCCAGAACCACGACACACAAUCCUGCAUGGACCCUAAUGUUAUGGAGGCUAAGAUUGUGGUCAGCUCUUGUGGCCACGACGGCCCCAUGGGCGCCACCGGUGUUAAGAGGCUCAGGAGCAUUGGCAUGAUCAACAGUGUCCCUGGAAUGAAAGCUUUGGACAUGAACGCUGCUGAGGACGCGAUUGUUAGACUUACCAGAGAGGUCGUACCUGGUAUGAUUGUCACAGGAAUGGAAGUUGCUGAAAUUGAUGGAGCACCACGAAUGGUUAGUAUGAAAUACUUGAACUCCUAUAUUGUAUAAACUCAUAAUUAGAAGUUAGAAAAGCAACAAACAAUUCAACUAAUUGGAGAUGUUAUACAUUGUACAGGGUCCAACUUUUGGAGCUAUGAUGAUAUCAGGACAGAAGGCAGCUCACCUCGCCCUACGAGCGUUGGGAUUGCCCAACGCCCUUGAUGGAACUGCAGAAACAAGCGUCCUCCCGGAGCUUAUGUUGGCUGCAGCUGAUGAAGCUGAAAUUGCUGAUGCUUGAAUGUAAUUAUAGUUUUCUAAGCAAGGAUUAUGAGAAAUAUUAGUUUUUCCUAGAUAAGUGAGUAUGGUUGUGGUGGUGAUGAUAAAUUGGUAAGGGGAUGAUGAAUAAGAGUCUUCAAGAUGAAAGUCAUUGUGUUAACUUUGGCUAUUUUAUUUUGAUUUAUUUCUAUUUCGAAACUUUUAUGGAAGAAAGUAGAUUUUAGUUUUGGUCGUUCCUUGAAUAAUCUUUUAGGCCUUUUGGGCUUUGUACUUGAUAUGGUUUGGGCCUCAUUGGAGAAGCCAUAUGAAUGAACAUUGUGAUUGGGCUAAGAUGUUUUUGCACUAAUGGCCUUUUGAGGAUUUACAUCCAAUUACUUUCAAAUGCAAAAUUUAGUUGAUUUGAUUUCGAUGGAGUUUGUGGAGGGUAAAGAGUACGAAGACUUUAUCACUACUUUGUGGAGAUAGAAAAGCUAUUUUUGAGAGACUUUCAGCUCAAAAUACUUAAAUCACGAUGGUUAAGAGCUAAUUACAUUAUUUUUCUAUUCUAUUUUAAAUAACGAAAACUCCUUGAAAUUUAUAAAUUUUCGAUUCAUUUUUAGACUUUUGGAUAUAUCAUCGGACUUUUCGAUGCAUUAGUAGAUAUUCGAAUACAUAUGUGAUGGAUGUAUCAAAGAGGGGAAAGACAUCUGGAUACAUGACUAGACUUCCGGAUAUGUCAACAAACAUCUGGAACAUAGAUAAGGAAUGUAUCAGAGAGGACAGAAAUAUAUUCGAGAGGGGAUAUGAAUGUAUCAACAAAAGGAGAGUGAUGUAUCAGGAGAUAUUUGAUUUUUUUUAAAUAAUAAAAAAUUGCAGAAAUUAUAUCAAAAUAAAAUGUUUAUUUAGAUCAUUUUUCUAAUAUUUAUUGGUAGAAGUUGCACAUUGAAGAACUGGAAAAGAUAUUUAAGAAAUUGAAAUCGAAGAUAAUUUAUCAUCAUGAAUAAUGAUGUUGAAUGAAAUGAAAAAUGAUAAUAGAGUUGUUAUUGGGAUAUAAUGGUAUAGCCUUAGUACUCGAAAGUUUUAAAUAUACAUAAUAAGAGAAAAAACAUAAAGUGAUUCUUGAUAUUAUUUUAUAUUUUAAAAAAGACAUUUUAAUUUGGGGCGUGCUAUUAACCUCUAAAUAAUUUCAAAUAUAUAUUAUUACAUCAUUUCGAUCAAUUUCAGAUUUUAAAUACAAAUACGAUCACACCCCAAUCAUUGCGUGUCACAUGGUAAUUAAAUUUGAAAUACUAUUUAUUUCAUGUUAAGUUUUUCUUUAUUUUUCUCUCUUACCUUUUUGACUUAUUUAACUUUACUAGUUUAAUUUUAAUUUCAUUUUAAAUACUAUUUCAUCUCCCAUCCUAACCUCACCCUACCCCCACGUCAAGUGACACCUCCAUUUUUUUCUUCUUCUAUCAAAUUUCUUUCUUUUUAAAACGAUACUAUUUACUAGAUUUUUUUGAGUUAUUGAUAACAAAAAUAAUGUGUUUUCUAAGAAAAAUCAAAGUUGAAGAUAUCAUCAAUUAAUUUAUCUAUUUGAAAGAAUUAGAAAAAGAAAAAGUUUAAUUAAAAUUUGGAUAAAAUAAAUUAAAUAAUACCUAUUAAUUUAUCAUCUUGAAAUCUAAUAGUUUAUCGAAUUGUUCCAAAUGUAAUAAAAUAAUUAGAUAUUAUUUUAAAAUUGAAGAGAGUUAAACUUCUAUAGUAAAACAUGGAGGUGAAGUUGUGGUAAAAAGUGACAUUGAAAGUGAGAAAUUUCAAUGAAGAUGACAAUGAAUUUUUGAAGAAGAAGGAAAAAAGAAAAAGAAAAAAUAAUGAGAAAAAAUUAAAAUAAUAAGAAAAACAAGAAAAUAUAUUUUACAACAAAAUACAUGUAAAAAUAAAAUUAUAUUCGUUUUUUAGUUUGUUCACGCUUUUUAGGAGGGUGCAUACACUCUCCAUGCAAAGUGGACAAAAAUGUUGUAAUAAUAUGUCUAGAAUUUUUUAGUAGGGGUGUGCAUUCGGUUUCUAUACUAUUCGGUUUGAAUUUUUGAUUUUUGGUUUUGAAGAAGUGUAACCCAAUCCAAACCAAAAUAAAUUUGGUUUGAUUUAAUUUCUCUCUCUUUUUUUUUUUCGAUUUCAUUAAUCAGUUAUGUCAAUAAUUAGAAACAUAACCAAAUUUUGUAUAUGCUUACUCUAUCUAUUUGUAUACGAUUUUAUGAAAAAUUCAUAAUAAAUUAUCCUUUUCGUAUAUUGGCAAAGGAAAAAAUAACGGAGUUCUGAAAAAUUCUUAAAUGUACAUAAUAUGCAUAUACUUACCCGACCUCUUUAGCAAAUGGAAUUAUAGCUAUGAAAUACAAUUAUUGAAACUAUAGCUAUAAAGUCUUAUUAUGUCUAUUAUGUUUGUUAUUUCUAAAAUAUUCUCAAUAUAUAUUGAGUAUACAUUUAACUAUUUAAUUUCAAUCAACUCAAAAAUUAUCUUAAAUAAUCUCAAAAUUUAAAUAUGAAAUUUUCUUGAUAUCUCGAAUUAGUGAUAGUUAACUCUAAACAACUGAAAACUGACACAACGAUGAUAACGAAGGUGGAGAAAAAAUUGGCAAUUUUUUUUGUAAUCAAAUUUACCUUAUGAGUAUUACCUUUGUCAAGGUGAUAAUUACUGAUCUUUUAUGUAACCAAUCACAAUAUAUUUUGGUACAUUGAAAACUAAACAAAAUUUUUGUUUGAUUAGUUACUUGACUUAAUUUUGGGAGGAAAAUAAAUUUCACACGUCUUCUUAAAAUAAUAACAUAUCUAAAAUUCAAUAAUGAUUUCCCUUUUUUAGAUAUAUAUGUUUUAAUAAAUAUUUAUCGUCUUAAAUAAUAAUUUUAAGAAGAUAACAUUAUAUGUCCACUUUGAUAAGCUACAUGACUUAAGUUUAGGAGGAAAAUAAAUUUCACCCGUCUUCUUAAAUUAAGAUAUCAAAAAUUUCAUAAUUAUAUGCCUUAUGUUUCAUUAAAUUAAUAUCGGAAAAAAGUUCAAAAUUUCAGAGACACAUCUUAAUUAAACUAAGGUUCUAUUUACCUCUGAAUUCAUUUUUUUUUGUAAUUUUAUGCACCUUUUUAAGCAUAGGUGGAAUCUAAAUAUCGCCCACGUGCCUCAAUUGCGUGGAGUCGUCACAGACUAUGCCACGUAAGACCAAAAGUGUAUAAAGUUACAAAAAAAUAAAUUCAGGGAUAAUAGGACCUUAAUUUAGUCAAAAUGUGUCUAUGAAAUUUCGAUUAUAAUCUAGGAUAUUGAUGCAUUAUCCUAUUAAUAUUUAUCGUCUUAAAUAAUAAUUCUAAGAAAAUGACGCUGUAUAUUCUCCUCUUUAAUAAGCUAGAUAACAUAUAGACAAUUUGUUUCUACUUCAAACAAUUCUAAUGAUUGGCCAUUUCAACAACUUUUUGUUCUUCUUCAUUCUUUAACUUCUGCAUGAAAUUAGUUAACAGAGAUGAAGAAGUAUUGUGCCUAAAGAAAAGGAAGAGUUUGUUGACUGAAAUAAUUAUGAGUACUUUUAUGCUAUAUUAUUAAUGUAGAUGAAGAUCAAUGGUCAAACCAUUAAGUUGGAAAUCGAUUGAUCUUUUUAAUUUUUGACUAUGUUUUUAAAAAUAAUUUUAUUCUUUUUAUAAUUAUGAGUAUUUUUUACUGCGAUAUUAUUAAUGUAGAAUGGAUAAUUGCUUUACAAAUAUAUAAAGGAUAAAGGGUAAUUCAACUUUUGAUUUGAGUUCUUUUCACGUAUCAUAUAAUUAGUUUUUUAACACGUGCGUUGCACGUGAUUACUGAUUUCGAAAAUAUAUGUGUAUAUAUAUUUAUAUUUCAAUUUGAUGAGGUUCAACCAUGUGAUUAGACAAUAUUUGCUUUGUAUUGUUCUUGUUAUGUAACUAGAUGUGCUUUGCAUGUGUAUUCCACGUCAAAUUCUUUAGAUGUCAUAUGAACAUGUGAAGAGAGCAUCUACAUUUUAUAUAUUCACAUAUUUUUAUAUUUGUUGUGAGUUUUUUUUUUAUAAAAAGAAAUUGAAACAUUUUAAAAUAAUAUAUUUUGAAGUUAGAAAAUCUUGUUGCCUUGGUUAUACAUUUGUGACGUAUUAAAAUACUUUAAUUUAAAUGCAAAUACCUACUCAAAAAUAAAUAUAUAUUUGCCUUAAUGAAAAUAUUUAUAUCAUAAAAUUAACUAUUAAAUAAAGGGAUAAUGCACAAGUACCUCCUUAACCUAUGCCCGAAAUCUCAGAGACACACUUAUAUUAUACUAAGGUCAUAUUUCCCCCUCAACUUAUUUUAUUAAUAAUUUUCUAUCCCUUUUCGGUCUACGUGACACUAUCUUGUGGGUCGAACGAUAAUUGACUUUUUUCUUCAAGCUAGAUUUAAAAAUAUGUGGUUGAAAAAUGAGAGGAACCCCUUUAUUUAUAGUCAACAAAGAGUAGUAUGAACAAAUGUUUUUUGUGUCUUAUCUGAAAAGUCACGACCUUUUCUAGAAGUCACAACCUUUCGAAAAGUCACAACUUAUUGAAAAAGUCACAACUUAUUGAAAAAGUUACAAAUCUUUCAAAAAGUCAUAACUCAUUGAAAAAUCACAACCCUUUGAAAAAAGUCACAACUUAUCGAAAAGUCACAACACAUCGAAAAAGUCAUAACCUAAGUAAGUUAUAAUAAUUUAACAUUCAAGUUAGAAAUUCAUACUUUUUAAGGUAAUAUAAUCAUAUAUUACUAAAAGCAUGAACAUAAAAGUUGAAAGUUGAAUUACGGUUUUACCCCUUCUAUAAAUUAAAUUGUUAUAAAAUAUUUAAAUAUUGUUAUAAAUUCAUAGAAUGAGUGGAUAGUCCAUAAGGUUGGUACAUGAACAACCAUUCAUAUUCACUAGGUUACAUGAACCUUUUUGGAUAAGAAUGUAUCUAUUUAUUAUGAUAUUUAAUAUGGUGACCUUUGGAGUGAUUUCUCACUCUAUAAAUAGGGUUGUUCAUUCACUAUUGUAAUAGAUACAGAUGACACUUAAAUACACUUGAAUAAGAAGAAAAUUCCCCUUCUUCUAUCUACUUCUCUUGUCUUCUUCUCUUUAUGAUUAUAUUCUUAUGAGCUUGAUUUUAUAAUAAAUAUUUGAUUGUAUAAAUUUAAUUAAAUGUUAAUGACUUUUAGACUUCCAAAGAUUAAUUCCUAAUUAAGUAUCUAAUCUAUUAAUAUUUAUCAUCUAUAAUCUAUAUGUAUAUAAUAAAUAUAAUUUUUUAAAGAAAAAAUCUUUACCUAAAUUUCUUUACUUUUCCUCUUCUAAUUACUUUUUCCUUAACCCCUCUCAUGAAUAAUAAUUCAUAUGAUUGAUGUGGAUAAAAUAUUAUCCUUUAUGAUAAAUAACGAAAUUUAAUAAUUUAAAGGGUGCAAAUCUACAAAAUGGAGACGCACAUUGAUAAUGUCCUCUUGAUUAUUAUUAAAGAAUGACUCUAGCUUCACAAAUUUAAAUUCAUUAAUGCUUAAUUACAUGAUAAGAAUUUUAGUUGUUCUUUCUACAUUGUUUGCUAACUUUAAUUUCUUUUCAUAUUCUUCAUUUAUUUAUUAUUAUAUUCUAAUUACUUAUUUAACUUUUAUACUCUUAAUAUUCAUAACUCUCAUCUUUUAAUAUUCAUAACCUCCAAAUAUUUAAACUAAAACUUUAAGAUAUCUUUUGAUAUUCUUUCUAUUUUAUUUAUAUAAAUUCAACUUCUUUAUCUCAUGAAACCCCUAAUAAGAUUAUUAGGCUAUUAUUUUUAUUUUAUAGUAAAAGUAGAUGAUGAAGACUCUUGAAUUUCGAUAGGAUAUGAAAGGAGUCGAUAAGAACUCAGAAAGUUAUGUACUAAUUUUAUACUUAUUUUUUCACCUAUAUAUACAUCAAUCUUAUUAGAAUAAUGUCUAUAUUGUAUUUUUUUCUUAAAUAUUCUGUUUUUUUUGUCUUUUUUUAAAUUAUAAAAUUGACUAAAAGUGCAUAAAGUAAAAAUAACUAUCACACAAAUUCAAUAUUCCAAUAAAGAUAUUAAAAUACAACAUGAUAAGUUAAUGUAUACAAAGCACCAGGCCAUAGUAAAUUAUCAAUAAUAAUAACACAACAAUAGAAAGUAUGUUGUACAAUAACAACAAGCAAGAAACAUAAAUGUUAAACUAAAUAAAUAAAAAGAGACAAGAAAAGAGAGCAUAGAGAUUUUCUCAUUUUUUUAAAUUGGUUUAAGUCUAUAUAUUAUUGUGUGAAAUGUCACUAUUUAUUAUUGGAUAACAUUGAAAAAUACAAAGAGUUGUCAUAAAUAAAUAUUAAUCUAUUUGAGAUUAUCGAUGAGAAAUGAGAGUAAUGAACAUAAUAAAUAUAAUUAGUGAGAGUCACGUACAUUUACAAGUUGAUGGUAAGUUAUAUAUACUAAUAUGAUAAUUUACUAUUUACUAUAUUAAUAUUAAUAUUUAAUUUAUUAAACAAUUUAUAAAAUUUAAAUGUACAGUGCAAAUAAAACUGUAAUCUAAGAAAAAAAUAUAUAAAAGAAUUCAAAUAUACUAAAUCUGUAAUGGAAAAUCAUUAUGACUAAGUAUUAAAAAAUCAAAUACAUUCUUAAAAUAAAAUUACAAAUUCAAAAAAAAAAUCAAAUAUGGAAGCAAGUUUAGCAUAAGACUACCAACGAAAAUGCAAAUUGAUAAUGUAAAUUGAAGACAUUCCUUUCCCUAUUUUUAAGACAUUCAUUUCCCUGUUUUUUAUUGAUAAUGCAAAUUGAAAAAAAAGCUAUUGUAAUAAACAUUCAACCUUUGACCAUAAAAAAAGGUUAAAUGUUUUGGAAGAGAAGUUAACGAAAACGACAUUCAACUACAUAAAUGGAGGGGUCUUAUCAUAGUUCUAAUCUCGGCAAAUUACAAAAACAAAUACAUCAAACUCCGCUAUUAUAGUAAUUGAAGUGUUAUUCAUCCCUAUAAUCACAUUACGCCUUGUAAUCUUGACAGAAAUCCUCAAAAUUUUCUUUACUUGAUUAAAGCUUCUCUAGUCUUCUACACACAAAAAAUGUAUCAUGUUUAAAUCUUUCUAUGAAAAUACUAUUAAAAAAAUUUCAUAGUAUAGGGAAAAAAUAUAAUUUUGGAAUAUGAAGAUUCACUUACAAAGUUGAAAGGUCAAGUAUUAUUACAAAUUAAAGACAAAUAUUAAUUAAAAAUAUAAAUUAAUUUGGAAGAUGAAACACAUACAUGUAUCUAUUCAAAGGAAUAACUCUUAUUUUUAAUUUUUGUUCUAUUGAAUUUACUCAUAUGUGUAUACCAAUUAAAUAAAAAUAUUAUAGAAAUUCUACUAUUUACUAUUUAAUUAUUUAUUUAAUAACAUUUGAAUUUAGCAUAAGGGUAAAAUUGUAAUUCAACUUUUCUACUUUGAAGCUUCCCACUUAUAAUAAUAUAUGAUUGUUACAUUUUAUUAUUCAUUACAAUUUAUAUAUAUAUUUCCAUGAGAUUUUAGUUAUUCUAACGUAUCUAUAAAAAUUCACAUGAAACACACGUGUAAAGCACGUCCUUAGAAACUAGUAUAUAGAAAUAUAGAUAUGAUACGAUGCUAUUAAGGUAAUUUCUUCCACCAUUUACUGGGAGGGUAAAUCACCAAGGGAUAUGAUAAAGAUGAAUUGGAUUUAAUUUUAAUCAAAGAUUUCUAAGUCCAAUUCUAUUAAUGAAAUAAUUACCCCUUUUUAAACAUAGCCUAAAUACAUUUAAAUCCCUUAAAUUUCAUUUAGACAUUCAAAUUAUGAUAUGUUACAAAUUUGAACGCGGUCGGUGGUCCUAAAAUACACUUUCAACUCAAAUUUUGAAAAAAACUUUUACGAGUAUUUUCAAGCGUCUAUUAUUAUCUAGGUUAAAGUUUGACCGCAUAAAAUACGUCAUGCCUCAUAUUAUAUAAACAAAGUAUUAUAGUAAGUGAAAGUGUAUCAAAACACUCAACACACAUAGUUUGCAAACUUCUAAAAUGGCUAAUCCUCAACAACCUUUGUUAAUAAAAACACACAAACAAAAUCCAAUAAUCAGCUUCAAGAUCCUCAGUUUUGUUAUAACUUUGUUUGUUGCUCUCUUCUUAGUUGCUCCAUAUCAAGUUGAGAUUAAACAUUCUAAUCUAUGUAAAACUGCACAAGAUUCCCAACUCUGUCUCAGUUAUGUCUCUGAUUUGAUAUCCAAUGAAAUUGUCACAACAGAAUCAGAUGGACAUAGUAUUCUGAUGAAAUUUUUAGUUAACUAUGUCCAUCAAAUGAACAAUGCAAUUCCAGUGGUUCGCAAAAUGAAGAAUCAGAUCAAUGACAUUCGUCAACACGGGGCUUUAACUGAUUGUCUUGAGCUUCUUGAUCAGUCAGUUGAUUUCGCAUCUGAUUCAAUUGCAGCAAUUGAUAAAAGAAGUCGCUCGGAGCAUGCCAAUGCGCAAAGUUGGCUAAGUGGUGUGCUUACUAACCACGUUACGUGCUUGGAUGAGCUUGAUUCCUUUACUAAAGCUAUGAUAAAUGGAACGAAUCUUGAAGAGUUGAUCUCGAGAGCUAAGGUAGCAUUAGCGAUGCUUGCGUCUUUGACAACUCAGGAUGAGGAUGUUUUCAUGACGGUUUUAGGAAAAAUGCCAUCUUGGGUGAGUUCGAUGGAUAGGAAGCUGAUGGAGAGUUCGGGUAAGGACAUUAUAGCGAAUGCAGUGGUGGCACAAGAUGGAACGGGGGAUUAUCAAACACUUGCUGAAGCAGUUGCUGCAGCACCAGAUAAGAGUAAGACGCGUUAUGUAAUUUAUGUAAAGAGGGGAACUUAUAAAGAGAAUGUUGAGGUGGCUAGCAAUAAAAUGAACUUGAUGAUUGUUGGUGAUGGAAUGUAUGCUACGACCAUUACUGGUAGCCUUAAUGUUGUCGAUGGAUCAACAACCUUCCGCUCUGCCACUCUUGGUAUGCUUUCAAUAACUUAUGUAUAUAUAGUAGAUGUUGAACCCUUUAGCCUCUUCGUUAUGUAUACUUUUGAUAUUUCAAACCCCCUUACUAAAAAUUCUGGCUCCGCCAUCAUGAGCUAGGAUGGUAUUAUUUGUAUUUCAUAUUUGAUUAAUGAACAAGAGUAACAUAUACUAGUGCAUUUUCAUCAUAUUGCAGCUGCAGUCGGCCAAGGAUUUAUACUACAGGACAUAUGUAUACAGAACACAGCAGGGCCAGCGAAAGACCAAGCAGUGGCACUUCGAGUUGGAGCUGAUAUGUCUGUCAUAAAUCGUUGUCGUAUCGAUGCUUAUCAAGACACCCUUUAUGCACAUUCUCAAAGGCAAUUCUAUCGAGACUCCUACGUGACAGGUACUUGUGAAGUAGAUUACCUCAAAUGUGCUAUACUCUCUAUUGAACUCGGUAUUAAAAAGUUUAAAUCUUGAAUCCGUCUCUGCAGGUACUGUUGAUUUCAUAUUUGGUAAUGCAGCAGUUGUAUUCCAGAAAUGCCAGCUCGUAGCUAGAAAACCGGGUAAAUACCAGCAAAACAUGGUGACUGCACAAGGCAGGACGGACCCAAAUCAGGCCACGGGGACAUCAAUUCAGUUCUGUAACAUAAUAGCAAGUUCGGACCUAGAACCAGUCCUGAAAGAAUUCCCAACAUAUCUUGGUAGGCCAUGGAAAGAAUAUUCAAGAACUGUAGUGAUGGAAUCAUACUUAGGUGGUCUCAUUAAUCCAGCGGGUUGGGCUGAGUGGGACGGAGAUUUUGCGUUGAAGACAUUGUAUUAUGGUGAAUUUAUGAACAAUGGACCUGGUGCUGGUACUAGUAAGCGUGUCAAGUGGCCUGGUUAUCAUGUCAUUACUGAUCCCGCUAAAGCUAUGCCGUUCACUGUGGCUAAGCUGAUUCAGGGCGGAUCAUGGUUGAGGUCUACUGGCGUGGCGUAUGUGGAUGGAUUAUAUGAUUAGAGUAUAUAUAUGAUGUGCCACAUGAGCAGGGCAGAGCAAGCAUAACACACAACUCUAGUGUGACAAGCAUUUACAUGGCUCAUUCGUUACUACUAAGUUGUCAAUAAGUUCUGUUUAGGGGUUCAUAAGUUUAUAUACGUAUAUACAUUUACAUUGGUGAUGAAGCUGAAACUGAUGAUGCUUUAAUGUAAUUAUAGUUUUCUGAAAAAGGAUAUGAGUAAUAUUAGUUUUUCCCAGAUGUGUAUGGUUGUGGAACUGUUUAUGCUUAAAUUGGCAAGGGGUAUUGAAUAAAAAUCUAUUGUGUUACCUUUUGGCUGUUUCAUAUUUAUUCUUUUUUUUUUUUGAUCUAUUUUGAUUUCAUAGUUGGAAAAUUACGUGAUUAAUCAUACUUAUAGUAGUUAAUUACCUAACAUGGCUACAAUUUGUAUUAAUUACAAUUCGAAACUUACUUCUAGCUAUAAUUGCAUUCCCAUCUCUCUCUCCCUCUCUCAAGAAUCUCGCUCACAACUCUUUUUUUUUGAGUCAUAUAUCCUUGCAAGUCUCUCUCGGUUCUCUUCUAUCAGUGUCUCUUUUACUUUAUACAAGCAAAAAUUAUACAAAUAUAUAAUUUUUGUUCGUGUUUGUAUUAAGUGAGAGAGAGACCGGAUAUGCAAAUACAAAAUAUAUCUCUUUGCCCUAUACACUUGUAUUUUUUAUACAAAUACAAUUCUCUCCCUGCCUAGUUCUCUCUCUCUCUCUCUCUUUUUCUUUCUCUCUCGCUUUAUACAAACACAAAUUACAUCAUUGAUACAUAUACAUAGUAGUAUACAAAUACAAUUUAUCUCACUCCACUUCCGCCCACUCUAGCUCAUCUCUCUCCUGCCUUUCUCAAUCUCGCACGCCACUCUCCUUUCUCUAACAUGUAGCUACAAAUAGUAAUUAGCAUAUUAUAGUUAUGAAGCAUAAUUAAAUUGUUUUUGAGUAGCUAUAUGUGAAAAUUCUUAAUUUUUGAGUGGCUAGCUAUAAAUCUUUUCUAAUUUUUUGUUCAAAUAUUCGAUCAAAGUUGAUGAUAAUUUGAAUAUUAGCAAAUUUAAGAAAAUAUCAAUAUAUUUUGCCUAAAGUUUAUUGCCAUACAAAUAUAAUCACAUAACAAAGAAUUAAUACAUAAUUAACUUAUUGUGAAAUGAGGUCUUGGGCCUAACUCACAUCCUAAAAGCUAGCUCAAAUUAGUAUAAAAUUUUUGUUAUUCUUUAACUACGUCACCUUGCACCCGUUGCCUAACAUCUAGUGCAUAGACAAUUUAAUUUUGGGGCCCGAACAUUGAGUGAGAUUGACCGACUUUGAUAUCAUGUGAAAUUAGAUUUUGAGCUCAGCUUACACCUCAAAAAUUAGCUUAAAGGGAGGAAGAUUGUCCAAAUCUUAUAAGGACUUCACCAUCUCAAUAACCACUAGUGUGGAUUUUUGUCAUUUUUUAACAAUUCUUAUCAACAUAUCCGAAAUAAGCAAUAUUGCAAUGCAAUAUAGCUAUGGGGCGUAAUUAUUGAAACUAUAACUAUAAAGCCUUAUUAUGUUUAGUAUAUUUGUUGUUUCUCAAUAUACACCGAGUAUACAUGAAAAAUAUUUCGACUAUUUAAUUUUGAUCAACUUAGAAGAACCUUUUAAACAAUUCCAAAAUUUUAAUAUGAAAAUUCUCUUAGAUAUUUCGAGUGCUCGAAAAAAUUGGAAGAAGAAACUGACACGACAAUGAUAUCUCUUGCUAGCUUAACAAUAAUAUAAAAAGUGUUUGUUAAUAUUUGUAGUUGAAUUAGUUAUAUUAGAAUAGAUUUAUCUGAAUUAGAUUCUUUUUGAAGUAUAAAUCUAACCAAGAAGGCAAAUGAAAUAAUUGGACAAACUCACCUUAUGAUACAUUUUAUAGAGUAUUUAACGAAAGUGAAAAGACUAAUCAGAAUAAAUAUCAUUAAGAAGAUUAAACUAUGUACAACUAAUAAUAACAAAGAAAUUUUAUAUUCUAAAAUAUGAGUGAAGAAUGUAAAAAGAAGAUACAAUUACACACAAGAAUUAUAGGAAUAGUAAAUAAAAAAUUUUCUUGGCAAAGUUAAAUUUAUAGAAUAAAAUUACAGAAAUAUGAAAAGACACGUGAAAAAUUGAAAGGUCAAAUAUUAUUAAAAUAAAUAUAAAAAAGAUAGAGAUGAAAUUUAACUUUAAAAGAUACAUGAAUCUACUUUAAUUUCUUGUCUUUAAAGAAUAAUUACUUAUUUGUAUUUUUUAAAAUUUGUGUGAGAAAUUUGAAAGGUUCAAGAUUUUGAAAUGAGAAUAAGAAGAUUAUAUGAAAAUUAUAAAAGUUUUAAUUUAGUAGAGGGGCAAAAUAGUAAUUCAAUUUUUUACUUUGCAGCUUUCCAUUUAUAAUAUGAUACUAGUAUUAUUAUAAGUGGGAAGAACUCAAGUCAAAAGUUGAAUUACGAUUUUACCCUCCUAUAAAUUAAAAUGUUAUAAUUAGUUUAAUUAAAUAAUAAUAACUUUUGAAUUUUCUUAGAUUAAUUCCUAUUAUUAUUAUUGUUGUUGUUGUUGUUGUUGUUGUUAUUAUUAUUAUUAAAAGUGAAAAAAGCUUUUAGCUUCAAAAUUGAUUACCAUUUUACCCCUACUGUAAGUAAAAAUGUUAUAAAAUAUUUAAUUAGUCAAAUAUUAGAAUUCUCAAUAAGUUUUUUCUAAUAUAUAUUUGUAUUUCAAAUUUUUAUGCAACCUAUAAUUACAAUAUUUAAUAUGUAUUAACCUCUCACAAUUGAAUUAUUAUUAUUAUUAUUAUUAAUUAUGAUAAAAAAUCUUAUUCUGCAUACCUUAACUAUAAGUUAAAUAAAAUUCAUUUAAUUAAUUUUUCAGUUACAUAAAUUGAACGGGAUUUGAAAGUGGAAAAGUGAUUGUUUAAUGUCCAGAGUCAUACAUGAUUAAUUGCUUUAAAUUAACACAUCAUGUAUUACUUUACCAAACUCUUUCAAUUCCUAUAAUUUGUCUUCUGAUUUUCUUAAUUUGUCUCAUCAAAUUCUAACACUUUUAAUUUAGUAACCAAUCUUUAUUAAUAAACAUCAGUAGAACUUGAAUAGUUCAUUAAGUAUUUAAGUGUAAGUUAAUUAGUAUUAUGUCAAAAGAAAUUUGAAAGAACAUAAAAAAACACUAUAUAAAGGAAACAAAUGAUUUUCAUUUCCUUCAAGUUUUAUUUCUUUAGUUAAACAUCUAACACCCCUUCUAAAUUUCUUUCUUUUCCCUUAAAUUUUUUCGUUUGCAUGAACUAAAGAAAAUGGGAAUGAAGAAACAUGUAGAGUUGAUAAAUGUUGGAAUUAAAUGAUUGUCAUAUCAAUUUACAUGCAACACUCAACAUUCAUUGAAUGAUAUAUGAAGAUUACUUAGUCCUUAAGGAGUGCUAGCAGAAAUUCAUGAGCUAUGAAAAGGAGGAAAUUGAUUUCUUUGGAAUACUGAUUUUAAAAUUUUCAUUAAUUGAUUUUAUUCUUAUAAUGUACUGUAAUUAUAAUUGCUUGAGACUAUAGAUAAAAUGCUAUGUUAUUUGUGUAUUUGGAAGGAGUUAUAAAAAUGAUAUCUUGUAGUAUGCCUUCAUGGCAUCAUGUGAUUGGUAUUGAAAAAUUAUAUUGUAACUUUUUUUGUAUUUUGUAAUGUUUCUUUAUAUGUAUCUUCAUAUUGGAACUUACUAAUUUAUUUUACAAAAGAAUUAGGAGCAUAUGCAUCAUAAAUAAAUAUAGUAUCAAACUUUUUAAAGGAAAAUUUUCUUUCAUUUUGAUAAAAACUAUUUUAGCUACUACAAGAUAUAGGGAUCUUCACUUAAAUAGUCGGAUAUAUUUACUAUUACUUUUUCUAGCCUAUAUAUAUAUACUAGUUUUCGAGCACGCGCUUUGCGUGUGUAACCCAUGAGUGUAUUAUUUCUUAAAAGAUAAUAUUACUAAAUAAUAAAAUGUCUAAUUGAGAUUUUUUACUUUGUUUUACUACUAAUUGUGACACUCCAAUUUUCUGACCUCCAAGUGAAUGCAUCAAGAUAAUAAUACGAGAAAUUAAUAAAAUAAACUUUGUUUGUAAUUAAAAAAAUAAGUUUGCAAAGCUAAAAGGAAAAAUAACAACUAUCUAAAUUAAAUUUCUUGAUAGUUCCGUUUUAUUGGUAGAAUAAUGCUAGAUAGUGUAAGAUUAACUUUGAGUGAAGAAAAACAAAACCUUUCAACUUUAUUAAUGAAUGUGUUUUAUGUAUUGUAUUAAAUUUUUAUCCACAAACACUUUAAACUAAUUAGUUAACUAUAAAUAUUUAAAAUUAAGAUGUAAAAAGUUUUAUCAUUUAUAUUUAAAAAAUCAGGAUAUUUAUGAAUAACUACUAUUUUUAUAUAAAAUUUAAUUCUGUCAUACAUAACUUAAUCCACCAUUAAUCUAAUAUUAUAUGUUUCAGCUUUUUUUUUUCAUAAAAAGAAUUGAAAAGAGUAAACAUCCUAUUUUAUCACAUUUAUUCUUAAAGAUGAAAAUUAAUGUAUAUAUAAAAAAUUAUAAGUACGGAGAAAAGAAAAAAAAAAGGUAUAAAUGAGCAAAAUAAUUAGGCAUUUCAUUUUGUUUGUCUCUAUAGUGAAACUGAACAUUUGAGCAUACAAAAUACAAAUAUGAAUUUAGAGCAACUUGCUAGUAAAACAAGAAUUCAACAAUAUGAAGAGAGACAAAAAAGUCUUAUAAUAAUUCUUACUACAAAUAAGUAUAAAACUAACACAUCAAGCUCCGAUUCUUCAGUAAUUGAAUUCUUAUCUAUUCUCGUAACUGCAUAAGAGAAUCUCACAACUUUCACAUCAAAUUGUGUCAUUAUUUCACAUGUUUAGAGUUCCUACAUACAAGAAUUGUAGGAGUGGUAAAUAAAAGUUCUUCUUGAAAAAGUUAAAUUUAUAGAACAAAAUUAUGGAAACAUGAAAAGUCACAUGAAUUCUUGUUAAAAUAAAUAUAAAAAAGAUAGAGAUGAAAUUUAAUUUUAAAGAUACAUGAAUCUACUUUAAUUUCUUGAUAAUUACUCAUUUUUGUUUUAUUUUGCAUUUAUGUUAGAAAUUUGUAAGGUCAAGAUUAUGAAAUGAGAAUAAGAAGAUUAUAUAUAUAUAUAUAUAUUAGUUUUAAUUUAUUAGAGGGGCAAAAUGGUAAUUCAACUUUUAAGUUUUGAGCUUCAUGCUUAUAAUAAUAUAAGAUGAUUAGUUCGAGUUCAAAUUUAUUCAAGAAAAAAAUAUUUCUUACUUAAUGUUUUUUUUUUAUAAAUAUCAAAACUCAAAUAUAUUUGGCUUUUCGAUUAAGAGUGAAAGAAUCUAACUGUUCGAAUAAUCUCACUCGAUGAAAGUUCUACUAACACAAAUUCAAGAGAGUUGGGAACCAAAAUAAGCAACAAAAAUAUAAAAGUAACUAAAAUAAGCCACUAUUUUAGUAAGUAACUAAAAUAAGCUUAGUGGAAGAAAAAGUUCCACUAUAUCCAAUUUUCUAAACGUUUUCCAUUACUGUCAUAAUGUUUAUUUUUAAUAUAUAACGGAACUUUUUCUUCCACUUUAUAAAGUGGAACUUUUUAUUCCACUUUAUAAAGUGGAAGAAAAUCUUCCAAUUUAUGAAAAGUUACCUUUUCAUUUUCACCUUCACCUUCUCUCAUUUUUCUUUUCAUGGCUUCCAAAAAAAAAAUCACUUUGAAGAUGGUCAUCUACAUCAAAAAUUCACUUUAAAAAAAUAAGUGUUAGACAUAGCGAUAAUCAUCUGCGUCAAAAGUAGGCGAGACAUGAAAAUUUGAGGAUGUCCCAACAUUUUCCGUCAUUUCAAAGUGUGAGGACUAACCAAAAUAAUUAUUUAGUCCAUAACUUGGAGCAAUAUCCCUAUCUUGCUGAGGUAAACCGCUACAAAAUAUAUAAUAAUAAGAAUAAUAAAUAAUAUAAAUAAAUAAAUAAUUGACAAAAUCAACAAACAAUAAUUGAAAUAUAAUAAUUGAGCAUUACCGAUCACUAUCAUUGAUAGUUUUGUUUAAAUCAAAAUCAUAUCUGCCGGUAAGAGUAUUUUGAUAAUGAGUCAUUUUAGGAAAAUCAGUAGAUUGAAUUAUCAGAAAUUCAUCAAUGCUAUUAUGAUUUUCUAAUUAGGGAUGAACAUCGACUGAUAAAGGAGAACGUUGUUGACUAAUCUUAGGCUCCUUCCUAACAUAGAUUCCAAGUAUUGUUGACUUGAUUUGAUCUAUAUAGUAAUUUGGAACCCUUAAAAAGUCGGUCAACGAUUCGUCAUUAUAUAUAAUUCACUCUCCAAAAUUUACUUGUCCAUGUGAUAAAAAUGAAGUAGGGUAUUUUCCAGCUAUAAUCAAAUUAUAAUCGUAUUGUUUAUACCCAUUCAUUUAUAAAAUGAUGAAAUAAAUUUAUGAUAUCGGACAUUUAUUGGAUAUUUAGCAUUGUGUUUGUGAGGACAAUUAUAAUAAAUGGUAUUUCCGUCAUGUAUAAUUUCGCCAUCCUAAUAAAUUGAAACUUUAACUAUAGGUGUAGAAGAUAUUUUUUUUUAGAUUGAAAUGAACAAAUAUAGAAGACUUUAUGUUGUAGGUGCUAUCGACUAUGUAUAAACGUCCUUAAAUAGAUUUUUCAAAAUAAAAUAAUAAAAAUACAUAAUGAAAUAUUUUUUUCUGUUUUAAUGACAUAUCAAAUCAAUAUAAUUUAUAUGACAACACUGAAAAAACUUAUUCAAGACGUGAAAAAUAUUUUUCUUGUAAAAUGUAAUAAAAAGUUCCACUUUAUAAAGUGGAAUAAAAAGUUUCACUUUAUAAAGUGAAAGAAAAAACUCCACUUUAUAAAGUGUAAGAAAAAAUUUCGUUAUAUAUUAAAAAUAAACGUUAUGAAAUUAACAGAAAACGUUUAAAUUAUUGGAUACAGUGAAACUUUUUCUUCCACUGAGCUUAUUUUAGUUAUUACUAAAAUAGUGAAUUAUUUUAAUUACUUUUAUAUUUUUGUGAAUUAUUUUGGUUUCUAACUCAAUUCAAGAUGGUCCUAGCUCUUACCUACUUUGGACAAAGUAGUUGAAAGUCACAUCAAUUCUCCCUCUUUUGUAAAAAUUAUCAUAUUAUUGCCAGUAUAUUAUAUUAUUAUUGCUUCCACUCCAUAAGUGAAAAAUCAAAGACGGAAUGGGAAGAUGCAUGAGUAUUUUUUAGAUUAUAAUGAAAUUUCAGAGACACAUUUUAAAUAAAUUAAGGUUUUAUUAUUUUUUUUGAACUAAUUUUUUUUUUUUUUGUAAUUUUGUUCACCUUUUGACUUACGUGAAAUCCAAAUAUCUUCCACGUACCUCAAUUGCUUGAAGUCACGUAAUACAAAAGUCGUACAAAAUUACAAAAAAAAGUUAAAAAAAAUAAUAUGACAUUUGUUUAGUUAAGAUGUGUCUGAAAUUUUGAUAGAAGUCUAGAGGGUAAUUAUGCAUUUUUCCAUAAUAAUAGAAAGAUAUUUGUGAUUAGUGAGUACAUGGUGAAAGGUUACUAGUCACCGAGCAUCCAAAUACAUUGGCAUUCCUUAAAUUUAUCAGUAACUUUAAUUUAGACAUUCUAAUUAUGAAUGUUAUAAAUAAAUCUUGUCACCUGACAUUUUCGAGUUUCAACUCAAAAUUUUGAGAAAACUUUUACCGUUAUUUUUAAGUGUAUAUAAUAAGUUAAAGUUAAAUCACCUAAAAUACGUCAGCAUAUACGAAUGACACAUAUUAUAUAAACAAAGUAUUAUAGUAAGUGAAAGUGUAUCAAAACAUUUUAACACAUAGUUUGCGAACUUCUAAAAUGGCUACUCCUCAACAACCUUUGUUAACAAAAACACACAAACAAAAUUCCAUAAUCAGCUUCAAGAUCCUCACUUUUGUUGUAACUUUGUUUGUUGCUCUCUUCUUAGUUGUGUUUCUUGUUGCUCCAUAUCAAUUUGAGAUUAAACAUUCUAAUCUGUGUAAAACUGCACAAGAUUCCCAACUCUGUCUCAGUUAUGUUUCUGAUUUAAUAUCCAAUGAAAUUGUCACAUCUGAUUCAGAUGGACUAAGUAUUCUGAAGAAAUUUUUAGUUUACUCUGUUCAUCAAAUGAACAAUGCAAUUCCAGUGGUUCGCAAAAUCAAGAAUCAGAUCAAUGACAUUCGUGAACAAGGGGCUUUAACUGAUUGUCUUGAGCUUCUUGAUCUGUCAGUUGAUUUAGUAUGUGAUUCAAUUGCAGCAAUUGAUAAGAGAAGUCGUUCGGAGCAUGCCAAUGCGCAAAGUUGGCUAAGUGGUGUGCUUACUAACCACGUUACGUGCUUGGAUGAGCUUGAUUCCUUUACUAAAGCUAUGAUAAAUGGAACGAAUCUUGAUGAGUUGAUCUCGAGAGCUAAGGUAGCAUUGGCGAUGCUUGCGUCUGUGACAACUCCAAAUGAUGAAGUUUUGAGGCCGGGUUUAGGAAAAAUGCCAUCUUGGGUGAGUUCGAGGGAUAGGAAGCUGAUGGAGAGUUCGGGUAAGGACAUUGGAGCGAAUGCAGUGGUGGCAAAAGAUGGAACAGGGAAAUAUCGAACACUUGCUGAAGCUGUUGCUGCAGCACCAGAUAAGAGUAAGACGCGUUAUGUAAUUUAUGUAAAGAGGGGAACUUAUAAAGAGAAUGUUGAGGUGAGUAGCAGGAAAAUGAAUUUGAUGAUUAUUGGUGAUGGCAUGUAUGCUACCAUCAUUACUGGGAGCCUUAAUGUUGUCGAUGGAUCAACAACCUUCCACUCUGCCACUCUUGGUAGGCUUUAAAUAACUUAUGUAUAUAUAGUAGAUGUUGAAUUCUUUGGCCUCUUCGUAUAUAUACUUUUGAUAUUUCAAACCCCCUUACUGAAAAUCCUUGCUCCGCCAUCAUGACCUAGGAUUAAGGAUUGUGUUAUUUGUAGUUCAUAUUUGAUUAAUGAACAAGUGUACGUAUAUACUCGUGAAUUUUCAUCAUAUUGCAGCUGCAGUUGGCAAAGGAUUUAUACUACAGGACAUAUGUAUACAGAACACAGCAGGACCAGCUAAACACCAAGCUGUUGCACUUCGAGUUGGAGCUGAUAAGUCUGUCAUAAAUCGUUGUCGUAUCGAUGCUUAUCAAGACACCCUUUAUGCACAUUCUCAAAGGCAAUUCUAUCGAGACUCCUACGUGACAGGUACUUGUGAAGUAGAUUACCUCAAAUGUGCUAUACUCUCUAUUGAACUCGGUAUUAAAAAGUUCAAAUCUUGAAUCCAUCUCUGCAGGGACUAUUGAUUUCAUAUUCGGUAAUGCAGCAGUUGUAUUCCAGAAAUGCCAGCUCGUAGCUAGAAAACCGGGUAAAUACCAGCAAAACAUGGUGACUGCACAAGGCAGGACGGACCCAAAUCAGGCCACGGGGACAUCAAUUCAGUUUUGUGAUAUAAUAGCAAGUCCUGACCUAAAACCAGUCGUGAAAGAAUUCCCAACAUAUCUUGGUAGGCCAUGGAAAAAAUAUUCAAGAACUGUAGUGAUGGAAUCAUACUUGGGUGGUCUCAUUGAUCCAUCGGGUUGGGCUGAGUGGCACGGAGAUUUUGCGUUAAAGACAUUGUAUUAUGGUGAAUUUAUGAAUAAUGGACCUGGUGCUGGUACUAGUAAGCGUGUCAAGUGGCCUGGCUAUCAUGUCAUUACUGACCCCGCUGAAGCUAUGUCAUUCACUGUGGCUAAGCUGAUUCAGGGCGGAUCAUGGUUGAGGUCUACUGACGUGGCGUAUGUGGAUGGAUUAUAUGAUUAGAGUGAUAUAAAAUUACUCUUUGUUUAUGUAACAAGACAUCUUUAAAAAGUUCAAAGUAAGUAGUAGUAAUAUAUCCAUAUGAAGUGCCACAUG